rnacentral:lncRNA from 1 species
UAAUUUGUGUUUCCAAUUUGAAAGAUUGCAGUGUCUGCAUUGCUAGCUAUUGCGACUGGUGUUCAUGGCACAAAGGAGAUAUCAAAGGGAACUGCAAAAUUGGUGUUGGUGUUACUAUGUUUCUAUGCUGCAGGUUUUGGUUUUUCGUGGGGGCCACUUACCUGGUUAAUUCCGAGUGAAAUUUUUCCCUUGAAAAUCAGAUCAACAGGACAAAGUAUAGCAGUUGGGGUACAAUUCAUAACCUUGUCUGUGUUAUCACAGACAUUCUUAACAAUGCUAUGUCAUUUUAAGUUUGGUGCUUUCUUGUUCUAUGCAUUUUGGGUUGCAGUGAUGACUCUAUUUAUUAUAUUUUUCUUACCUGAAACCAAAGGAAUAGCUUUGGAGUCGAUGUAUAUUGUAUGGGGAAAACACUGGUUUUGGCGGCGGUUUGUUAAAGGAGAAGUUGACAAGAACAAUCUUCCAUGAAGUAGAUUAUAGUACUAUCACUAAAUAACUAAUGCAAAGUUAUUUGUAAGCAAAUUAAAAGAUGGUGAUUGUGUUGAUAUGAAAAACUCUAGCAAAAUAAAUAGUUACUAGGUCAUAUUAGUGUGUAUCAUAUAAGUUUAGGCAAUUAAAUUUUGUGUUGGGAUAUGUAUUAUAUAAGUUUAGGCAACAAACUAUAUAUAAAUAACUUGAUGUUUUCUAGGACUUUUAAUCUCCUCUGUUAUUGAAGUCGGGCUUCUUGUGCAACAAAGUAAUUAAUUAAAGUUGUAACAAUAAUGUUAUAUUUCAUUAAUUUUCAAUAUUUAUACAGUUUGUUGGUUAAGCUACCAACUAAUUAACUAAUCACUUGUUUUAAUUUAGCUACUAACUUAUAUCCGCACAUAGUAUAUAAUAUUAUAAAUUAACUGCUUCCUUGAACUAUAUACUCGCACAUCUGAAUAAUAUUAUAAAUAGGUUUAGAAACUAUCAAACAAAUCAAACAACAUUCUCACGUAAGACUAACCAUAUAUCAAUCCUAUUUGUUUCCUCAAAUACACAAUUCUAUCAAUAUUUAAGCUCUUUUUAAAUCCACUAGCUAGCUCCAACAGAAACUUCAAACAUUUCAUUUCCCACUUGCUCUCUUAUGAAAUGAAAUCAGAUCUCUAUAUAUUUGUUUCUUUCAAGUAAAAUUGAAUUCUUAUCAAAUUUAUGGUCGACUUGUUAUCAAUCAUAAGUUUCAAUGAUUUUAACACUUAGAAUGAAACUCCUUUAGCAAUGAAUACAUUUAAAAUGCUCGAUAUGAAACAAAUGACUCAGCUAAGUACUUUGCAUCACAUGAUGACAAAGCUGUUACAAGUUAUUUCUUUGUACACUAGGAAUGAACGAACAUAGAGUCUGAGGUGCUUCUUUUAUAAGUUGUGUCACCGCAUAAAUUUGAAACAUAAUAAUAGCCUAUGAAUCAUGCCUUCUUCUUCCUCACGGCAAUUGGAAACAAUAUACCAAGUCUCACGGUUCCCUUUAGAUACCUAAGUAUUUUCUUUGGAGCCACUAGGUCUGACUUUCGAGGCUAACUCAGGAACAUUAUGAUUAUAAUUUUACAGAAGUUAAAAAUGUCAGUGUAGAUAUAACUAUUCUUAAUUAAUGUCAUUUACGUAACAACGCUACUGGAAAAUUUCUUAAUAUUUAGGCGUGAUUAGUGUAAAGGUCCAAUUCUCUCUCUCUCUCUCUCUGCUCUCCUGACAUGGAAAUACACGAAUUGCAUGACGUCUCCUCUCUCGGAAUCUCUCAUCUUCUCUCUCUCUGCUGCUCUCUCUCAUCUCUCUCAUCGUCUGCUCUUCUCUCUCAAACCUAAAAAUGAGUUAUUGUGUUUGUUCAAGAAACUCAAUCUUUCUUAUAGUCUUUUUUUUCCUUUCUGGUGCGAUAUUUUUCACAACAAAAUGGUACGUGAGCGUAGACAAGAUGUCGUUAACGAAGUAUGAGAUUGAGAAAUUCACAUGUGUGAAUGAUUUCAGUUGUGCGCUUGAAGAUGCAAGCCCUACUGGUUCAACAUGGUUUGUUAGAAGUGUUGAAAGGACCAGAGAAGAUGAAUGUUGGCAUAAUAGAGAAGGGGAAGAUGAUGAUGAUCGAGAGAGCCCACAAUGUCAUUAUAUUGAGCCUUUGUGAUAAGGUUCUCCGACAUGUCUCAAAGGGUAAGACGACAACAGGUGUGUGGAGCAAACUCGAAGGGUUGUAUAUGACAAAAUCCCUAAUAAAUCGUCUGUUCCUAAAGCAGUCUCUGUAUUCAUUCAAUAUGAGUCAAGAUAGAGUGCUGAUGGAUCAGUUGAAUAUGUUCAACAAGCUGAUUCUUGAUCAGGAGAAUAACGAGGUUAGUACUGAUGAUGAAGAUCAAACAUUGUUAUCGUUGUGUUCUUUACCUAAGUCUCAUGCUCAUUUCAAAGAAACUCUCUUGUAUGGAAGAUAUUCUAUGAUCUUUGAAGAAGUUCAAUCAACCUUGUACUCUAAAGAUUUUUAGGAGCGAAAGGAGCACACACCAUCUUAUGUUGGUGAAGGUUUGCCCAUUAAAGGAAAAAUCUUAAGGAAAGAUGGCAGGUUUGAGAAGUAAAAAGGUAAAGGUCAGGAAACGUCUUAUGGUGGUGAUGCUCCUGGAAUUAGGUGUUACCACUAUAAGAAGGAAGGUCAAGAAAUGUGUGCCCUGAAUUCCUGAAAGAUCAUUGUAGUAAGGAUAAUGAGAAUGCAACUGUUGUUCAGGAUAAUUUUGAAUCGUCUGACUUCCUGGUAGUUCCGGGCAACAAUUCUUGCAAGGAAUUGAUUAUGGGUUCAGAUUGCACUUGGCACAUGACUUCAAACAAAGAUGUGUUUGAGAAAUUAUGUGAUCAAAAUGGUGGAUUAGUGCUGCUGGAAAACAACAAAGCUUUCAAAAUUGCAGGUAUUAGAUCUAUGAGAUUCAAGCUCUAUGAUAAGUCAAUAAAUUUAUUGGAUGGUGUCAGGUAUGUACAUGACCUUAAGAGAAAUUUGAUUUAUCUUGGUGAAUUCGACAAGAAAGGAUUUAUGUUCAAGGGAGAGCAAGGUAUCCUGAGAUUCAUGAAGGGGACGAAGGAAGUCUUGAGAUACGUGAAGAAACAAGGCUUGUAUACCCUUGAGGCCAAGGUUGUAAGUGGAUCAACAAAGAAUAUGUUGGACUCUAUAUCCUUCAAGUUGAAGCGUCUAAAAUAGAAUCUAUUACAAAUUCUUGUGCAACAGUUAUAACCAAAACGAAUGUAUGAUUGAAGUCUAACCUUUUUGAGCUGCAAAUCGAUAACGAUGAUUCAAAUUAUGGGAAAAUGGUUUUGUAUAUACUUUUGUAUGCUUCUUUAAAAUGUAGAAAAUAAAGGAUUAAUUUGAAGAAAUUAUAUGAAGGAAGGAGAGGAUCCUUAUACUCAGGUAUUUGCUAAUGAAGAAAGAGAUACAAAUUUUGAACAUUAUGAGUACCAAUUUUUUACAAUUAUAAAAGGCAAGUUUGACAGUCGGAUUUGGGAAGCUUAAACAAUAAUGCUUUGGAAGUGGUUGGGUUUGGGAAGCUUAAACUAUACUCCCUCCCUCCGUUUUAUAAAAAGUGUCUCAUUUGUACUUUUUAUUUGUCUCAAAAUAAUUAUCCUUUUACAAUAUCAAUCCAACAUUUAUUAUUAUUUUUCCACUAUCAUACCCUAUUUAUUAAUUUUCACUUUAUCCAACGACUCUUUUAACUAUAAUUAAUAGGUGUAUUAUAAUAAAUGAUAUUAAUUUUAUCAUCAAAACAAAUAUAUUCAAUCAUUUUCUUAAAAACCGUAAAUUAUUCAAAUAAGAUAUUUUUUAUAAAUGUAGGGAGUAAUGGUUUGGAAGUAAUAACUAUGGUGGCAUUUAUUACGGAGAAGUAGAGUUUUGGUCCACCAUGGUCCAAUGUCCCUUUUACCUGCUAUUGCUAUUGCUAUUGCAGGUUAUUACCUAUAAAAUAUAUACUACUCCUGUCUAAAUAAAAAUCACAAAUUUCACGCUUCUUAGAAAGAUAGUUAUAUGUAUUAAUUUUUUUAAUUUUAAUAGAGAUAUUCUCAAUUAAAUUAUCAUUCACUAACUAAAUUAAAUAAUUAAUGAAGGAAUAAUUUUGGAAUAAAGGUAUUAAAUACACAUAUAUUUGUUAUCAUUUACAUAUUUAAAGGUAAAAGAUUUUUAAAAAACGCUGGCUUAUAAAUAAGACCGGAGGAUGAAAUAUAUUUUAUUUUUAUUUCAAAAUAUUAAAAUAAUAAUAUUUAAUUGCUUUUUUAAAAAUCUACACCUCCUUCCUUUAUAAUUUUUGUACAGGAAAGAUCCAAUGUUAAAAUUAAAAUAUUUUGUUCAAUUUUUUAAAUUGUUGUAUUCCAAUAAUACAAAAAAUUAUACUUAAUUCUCAUUUAUAGUUUGGAAAUAAUGAGUUAGAUGAAAUAUUUUUCACAUUAAGAAAUUAUUUUCAUAUCUUACAUAUUAAUGAAUAAUUACUAUAUUACAAUAAUUAAAUAAUAUUUCAAAAUUAAAUAAUAAUAAUAAUAAUAAUUUAAUAACAUUUAAAAUAACUAAUAAAUUUUCAUUCAAUCAGACUAUAAACCCUAAAUUUAAAAUUUGCAAAUCCUUCUCUUUCAUAAAUUAAUCUCCUCUUUUCUUUUAUGAAAAAAAAUUAAAAGAGGUUUUAGUAAGUAAAAUAUCGAAAUUAAAUAAUUUAUUCAGAUCUUUUUAACCCAAGUUAAAAAAGUUUAUACUGAAUUCUUUUUUUAAAUUAAAAAGCAAUGAAGCAAAGCAAAAGUAACACCUUUAACAUAUCUUGGACAAAUGAAGAAAAUAGUAGCUUCAUUGAUUUUGAAGGGCUUUCUGAAUUAAUUUUUUUGGGUUUCAUUCGAGCAAGGUAAAAUUCCUCAAAAUUAUUUUCAAGAACGAGAACAGAUUAUAUCCUAAAAAUUAGAAAAAAAAAUCCCAUAAAAUUGAUGUAUGUUGCUCAAUAGAUCUAAGAGAAUGACGACUGUUGAGAUUAAUCAUGCUAAUCAUUAUGGUUUAGGCUAAUUAGUUUGUUUAGUUUACUCCAUCAUGAUUGGUAGAUAGGAGAUAAGGUUGUUGUAUAUAAAGGAUAUAUUGCCACAUGUUAAUGAAUCAAUCCAAAUAACAGUAAUUUCAUUCAUCUUCUUCCUUCCUCUUUAUUCUUCUUUCUCUUCUACUGUUUCUGUUAUGUUAUCAUUCUGUUUUCUGUUAUCUUCUUGCAAGAUCCUUGAUAAUGGCAUGGUUGUAUUUCACCAUGAAUGAAUCUUGAUGAAUCUUGAUUAAUCACAAUAUGGUAUCAUUCGUCAAUCCGAUCCUUUUUCCGCUGCUAUCACACUGAAUUCCUUCCUCCACCUCAUUUCAUCUCUUUCAUUCAAUUCUUUCGAUUCUCAUGGCUCCCUCUCGAGCUUCAUCCUCAUCAACUGAUCCUGCUUUGGAUCAAACCUCGUCGUAUUUCGUUCAUCCCAUCGAUGGCCCUGGCUCUGUAACAGUUCUUCCCAAACUCACCGGUUCCAAUUAUCAUUCAUGGGCUCGAAGCAUGAAGAGAGCUCUUGGUGGAAAAAUGAAGAUUGAGUUCAUUGAUGGCUCUCUUCCUGCUCCAUCAGAUUCUUUCGAUCCAUCCCUGCGUGCUUGGAACCGCUGCAACAUGCUUGUUCAUUCUUGGAUCAUGAAUUCUGUUUCAGAUUCAAUCUCACAGUCCAUUGUCUUCAUGGAAAAUGCGUUGGAUGUAUGGAAUGACUUGAAAGAAAGGUUUCCACAGGGCGAUUUAAUACGAAUCUCUGAGCUGCAACAAGAAAUUUACAACCUGAAACAAGAAACUAAAUCAGUUACAGAUUUUUUCUCUAAUCUUAAAAUCCUUUGGGAAGAGUUGGAUCUGUAUCUACCUUUACCAACCUGCACCUGCCGCAUAAAGUGUACAUGUAAGGCUAUGCGCAGUGCAAGAUCUCAUCACCAGCUAUUACAGAUCAUCGGAUUUUUGACUAGUUUAAACGAACAGUUUGCUGUAGUGAAGUCCCAAAUUUUGUUGAUGGAUCCAUUACCAACUAUGAACAAGAUAUUUUCCAUGGUGAUUCAACAUGAACGCCAACUCCAGCUCCCCAUUCCACAUGAUGAAGCCCAAACACUGAUUAAUGUUGCUGAUUCCAAGAGGUUUGGAACAAGAAACAAUGCCUUCAAACAUGGUGUUCGCAUUUGCACAUUCUGUGGCAAGACUAACCAUACUGUCGAAAAUUGCUUCAAGAAACAUGGUGUUCCACCUCAUAUGCAUAAACAAUUUCAAACUUCAGCUAGCAAUGUGGCAACAGAUGGAAAUAAUGAUGGAUCUUCAUCUCAUAAUGUUGAUAUUCAGAGUGACAACUGCGGUAAUGAUUCCUCUGGCAUUACGCCCUUUACCACAAUGAUGCUGUCCAGAAAUCAAACGAUUUCGUGAAUUGGAUUUCACCACCUAUGACUCAAGGCCAAUUCAGUGCUCUAAUGGAUCUACUUCAGAAAUCUAAUCUUGGACAAUCUUCAGCACAUGCUUCUUCCAACCAAGUUGCUGUUGGUCAUCCAUCAACAGGUAACACAUAUCAUUGCAUGCAUAGUAAUAGUAAUGGCUCUUGGAUCAUUGAUUCAGGAGCUACUGAUCACAUUUGUAGCUCUGUCAAAUGGUUUCACACAUAUAAGAAAAUUAUCCCUAUCAAUGUUAGAUUACCAAAUGGACAAUGUCUUGUUGCUGAUCACUCUGGAACAAUUCAUUUCUCACCUGAUUUCAUUGUGCAUAAUGUGCUUUUACUUCCUGAAUUUUCUUUAAAUUUAUUAUCUGUUUCAAAGUUGUGUGAAUCUUCUAAUUACAUUGUCAAUUUCCUUAAAUCACAAUGUGUCAUACAGGACAAACUCACCCUGAAGAUGAUUGGUUUUGCUGAGCAGAAAGAUGGAUUGUAUUACCUAACACUGAGAGAUAAUGAUUCACCUACCACACACACACCUGUUUUAACAUCUGCUUUAGCAGCCAGUGUCAUCUUACCUGACAAAGCCUUAUGGCAUUUUAGAUUAGGACACUUAUCUCAAAACAGAUUAUUGUACCUACACACUCAAUUUCCUUUUAUCAAAGUUAAUCACAAGGAUGUUUGUGAUGUUUGUAGCUAUGCUAGACAAAGAAAACUCCCUUAUACUGUUAGUAAUAAUAGAGCUGCUCAUCCUUAUGAUUUGGUCCAUUUUGAUAUUUGGGGACCUCUUGCAGUCCAAUCUUUACAUGGCCAUUCCUAUUUUUUAACUGUUGUUGAUGAUUGUAGCAGAUAUACAUGGAUAACACUAAUGAAAACCAAAUCUGAAGCUAGACAGCAUGUCAUUGAUUUUGUCAAUCUCAUAGAAAACCAACAUAGUCUCCAUGUCAAAAUCAUUAGAACAGAUAAUGGCCCUGAGUUUAAUAUCCCUGAAUUUUUUUCAUCUAAAGGAAUAAUCCACCAAACCAGCUGUGUUGAAUCUCCACAACAAAAUGGUCGUGUAGAGAGGAAACACCAACAUUUACUAAAUGUUGGGAGAGCCCUCCUUUUUCAAUCCAAACUUCCAAAAGAAUUCUGGUCAUAUGCUAUUCUACAUGCCACAUUCAUUAUAAACAAACUUCCUACACAAGUCUUAAACAAUAUGUCUCCUCACUUCAUACUGCACAACACUCAUCCUGAUAUGCACAACCUUAAAGUUUUUGGAUCCCUUGCUUUUGCAUCCACACUGCAUAUGCACAUAACCAAAUUAGAGCCAAGAGGUCGAAAAUGUGUUUUCUUAGGAUACAAAAAUGGUAUGAAAGGUCUGAUACUCUAUGACAUUAACAGUCAUACAGUUCUGAUUUCUAGAAAUGUUAUACACCAUGAACAUAUUUUCCCUUACUCAAAUGUGAAUUCCACUAACUGGACCUAUCACCCAUACAAAGAUUCUAAUGACUCAUCACACAAUAAACCUGCCACACAUGUUCCAACACAAAACAUUGAACCCACAACUGAGGAACAUGAGCCUUAUUCUAACACAACCACUGACACACUGCACCAUGAACCUCUGGAUAAUACUGAUGAAAACCAUGACACUCAACCUGUUACUAAUGCACCAGUUAUUGACAGCAAGCCUGUUAGAGCUAAGCAUACACCCCAUUAUCUCUCAGAUUAUGUGUGCAAUACAUAUGAUGUAUCAGCAGUCAAGUCAUCAUCAGGUACAACUAACUACCUAUCUCAAAUUAUGAUUCCCUACAUUUUCUAUCUACAUCUCAUCGUGUCUUUGCAUCCAAUAUCACUUCCACACAUGAACCAAAGAACUACAAAGAAACAUGUUUGUCUGAACAUUGGAUCAAGGCUAUGAAGUCUGAAUUAGAUGCACUAGACAAGAAUAUGACUUGGAACAUAGUUGAUCUGCCACUACAUGUCAAACCUAUUGGUAACAGAUGGGUUUUCAAAGUGAAACAUAGAGCAGAUGGCACAAUAGAAAGGUAUAAAGCCAGACUGGUUGCAAAGGGAUACCCAGAGAGGAUUAGAAAGUCGAUAAGGGUAAUUCCUUUGGUUUUUUGAAAAAUUUUUUUUUUUUUUUUUUUUUUCACCCUCAAACGAAAAUCAAAAAUUGAACCAAAAUUUUCGCAAUUUUUUUUUGUUUUUCUUAAGAAUUGCUUUUAAUGUCUUUUCCGUUUCUUAUAAUGGUUAAAUUAUUUCCGAUUGGACGCAAUAAUGCCAUGCGCUUUGGAACUGUCACAAUAAAGAACCAGGAGUUUUGGUAACACGUUGAUGUGCAGUUUCCUUCAUGAGAACAAUCAACCAAUAGCAGUUCACAAUGUGUGAAAUGACAAUGCUCUGUACUUCUGUCCUCUUGAUUGAUGAUCUGAAAUGGUGUCCUGUUUCUUUGUACGCCCACGAUAGUAAGAGAGGUUCCAAGAAAAACAGUAUCCUGAAAUGGAUUCCUUCUUGAGUCAAUACAGCCUGCCCAGUUCAGAAUCUGAGAAAACCAAGUAAUUGCAGCUCAGCAUUUCUUCGAAAUUUAUUCCUUAGCCAAGACUGUUUUCAAGUAUCUAUUGACUCUGCAGGCACAUGAUAGUGAGCCAUGUAGGGUUGUGCAAAAUGGCUAGUUUUGGUGGACAUAAGUAUAUUUAUGGGCGUGUGUAUUGAAGAUAAAGUCGUCUAUUCAUAUCGUCCUAAUGAUCCACGUCUAAAGCCUCCAUUGUCAGCAUGUAACUUGACAAUGGAUAUUAGGUGUGGGAAGUUGGUUUGAUCCAAGCAUGCCUGAUUCCUGCAGAGAUCAAGACAGUAUUUUCUUUGGACAAUGAGAAUUCCUGCCUUGUGAAUGAGCAACUUCAGGCCAAGGAAAUACUUGAGUACCCAGAUUUUGAGGCUGAAAUUUUCAUCCAGGAUAGUCUAAUGCGGAUCAACUCAGACAGGAUUUCCAGCUAGGAUUAUUCAUCAACAUAUACCUAAAUGGUUGGAACAUGAUCAUUGGUUUUCAAAGUGAAGUAGUGAGUAAUCAGAAGCAACUGGUGUAACCUUGCUGCAGGGAGUACGUCAAUUUUCAUACCAUUUCGACUGGCUUGCUUCAGACCAUAUAAACUCUUUUGGAGUUUGCACACUUGGUUAGGUCUUGUGACAUGUCACACCUUCAGGUAUGGUCAUGUAUACAUCUUCUCUGCAAUUCCCAUGUAGAAAGCAUGUUAACAUCAAUUGAUGCAAAAACCAGUUGUUGAUGGCAGCAGUUGCAGGAGAGUUCUGACAGUGGUAAGCUUUGCUACAGUGAAAAUGUGUCAAAAAAAUCAAGCCUUUAAUUUGAAUUGUAUCUCNCCUAGCUGGAACAUCCAUGUCUGAGUUUGAUCGCAUUAAGCUUAUCCUGGAUGAAAAUUUCAGCAUCAAAAAUCUGGGCUUACUCAAGUAUUUCCUUGGCCUUGAAGUUGCUCAUUCACAGGCAGGAAUUUCAUUGUCCCAAAGAAAAUACUGUCUUGAUCUUCUGCAGGAAUCAGGCAUGCUUGGAUCCAAACCAACUCCCACACCUACAUAUCCAUCUGUCAAGUUACAUGCUGACAAUGGGAAGGCCUUUGAGGACGUUGGAUCAUAUAGACGACUGAUAGGACGACUGUUAUAUCUUAAUACCACACGCCCAUAUAUUACUUAUGCCACACAACAACUUAGCCAGUUUUUGCACAACCCAACAAUGGCUCACUAUCAUGCUGCCUGCAGAGUCAUUAGAUACUUGAAAAACAGUCUUGGCAGAGGAAUAAUAUUUCGAAGAAAUGCUGAGCUGCAAUUACUUGGUUUCUCAGAUUCUGACUGGGCAGGCUGUAUUGACUCAAGAAGAUCCAUUUCAGGAUACUGUUUUUUCUUGGAACCUCUCUUAUAUCGUGGCGUACAAAGAAACAGGACACCAUUUCCAGAUCAUCAUCAGAGGCAGAGUACAGAGCAUUGUCAUUCACCACAUGUGAACUGCUUUGGUUGAUUGUUCUCAUGAAGGAAAAACGUCUUUGUUAAAAAAAGAAACUACACACACACAGUUUAAAAAGAACAAACAUUAAAUUAUAAGGAGGAAUGACAGAACACGACAAUAUUGCCUCAAACAAUACGGAUAGAAAAAACACAAUAACCACAACACAGCUAACUAGAAUUGCACUGUCAUUAAAUGAGAUUCCGAAGACUUCAACACGAGAUAAAAUUCGAACUGUCAUAACAAUCCAUAACAAAUGACAACUGAAGCUGAAAUUUUACUUAUCACCACAAAGGCAUUAACCAAAUCAAAAACAAAUCCCAACAAAUUCAGAAAUUACAUGACCUGCAAAAAUCAAAAAAUCAUGCACCACAUGCUACGCUAGACAGAGGGACAUAGAGAGAUUAAUCAUGCUAAUCAUUAUGGUUAGGCUAAUCUAAGUUUUUGUUUAAGUUUACUCCAAUCAUGAUGGUAGAUAGGAGAUAAGGUUGUUGUAUAUAAAGGAUAUAUUGCCACAUGUAAUGAUCAAUCAAAUAACAGUAUUUCAUUUCAUCUUCUUCCUUCCUCUUUAUUCUUCUUUCUCUUCUACUGUUUCUGUUAUGUUGUCAUUCUGUUUUCUGUUAUCUUCUUGCAAGAUCCUUGAUAAUGGCAUGGUUGUAUUUCACCAUGAAUGAAUCUUGAUGAAUCUUGAUUAAUCACAAUAACGACAAUUAAAUGGAGAUAGAGAACAAAGAAGUGGAUGGUGUAACUCAAACCAAUCGCAUGGCUGGUGUAGCCGCCAUCAAAAAUAGGUGAUGUUAUAAAGAAGAAGAUAUUUUAUGAGCAACGACAAUCAAGUUUGGCUGCAAUUUGAGCAAACUCAUUGGCCAUGAAAAAGCUCGUCGACCAUGGAAGAAGAUAUUUUAUGAGAGAGAGGAAGAAGAAGCGGUCCUUUUUUUUAAUGGUAGACUAAUUCAAACCUUUCAAAUUUAUUCGUGGAUGGUUUGAUCAUAAAAAUUUCAAAGUUUUUAUUGAGAAGGAGUGGGGAAGCUUUCUAGUUAGAGGGAAAAUGACGUUCUUAUUCAAAGAGAAACUCAAAUUGUUUAAGGGAAGACUUAGAUGGUGGAAUUUAGAAGUUUUUGGUUGGAUGGAUUUGCAAUUAGAUAAGGUGGUUUCAGAGCUUAAUUUGAUUGAAGAUAAUUGGUCUAAGGGGGUAGUGUCAACUUUUUUUUUUAAGAAUCGGAGAAACGAAAUUCUUUGAAUAAUUCAUUUUGGAAUUUACUUUUUAGAAGAGAAAGUUUACUUAGACAAAAAUCUAGGGUGAAGUGGAUCAAGGAAAGUGAUAUGAAUUCGAGAUUCUUUCAUAGAAUUAUGAAGGCUCGUAACACAAAGAAGAAUAUUAUCCAGGUUUAUUAAGAGGAAGGUAGAGUGGAGGGGGUUCAAGAGGUCAAGGAUUGUAUCAAUAGAUACUUCGAGAAGAGGUUAACAAUCGACAUGUGUUAAUGGGUGUUGACUUUAAACAACUGUCUGAUGAAGAUAAAGGUUUAUGGAGAAGUCUUUUAUAGUUGAAGAAUUGAAGGAAGUUAUUUGGGAGUGUGGUGGAGAUAAGAAACCGGGUCCUGAUGGUUAUACGCUUAAAUUUUUCAAACAGGGUGGGACUUCUCAAACAGGGUGAACUUUCUUAACGAAUUUUAUGUUUAAGGUAAACUUCCUAAAGCGAUGUCGGCUUCGUUCAUUUCUCUUUUUCCUAAGGUGGUGACACCGCAAUCCUUGGGAGAAUUUUGUCCAAUUUGUCUAAUUUCUAAUAUGUACAAAUCCUUUUCAAGAUUCUGGUGGGGAGGCUGAAGCAGAUGGUGGGUAAAGUUAUUUCUUACAGUCAAAUAACGUUUAUUCCCGGUCAGUAAAUUCCCGAUAGUAUGGUGGUUGUUAAUGAACUGAUUGAUUACGCUACAAGGUUCAAGAAGGAAUCUUUGAUUCUGAAAGUGGAUUUUGAAAAAGCUUACAGUUGUGUUUCAUGGAGUUUCCUUAUAUAUAUGUUUAAUAGACUCAAUUUCGGUUCUCGUUGGAAAUUAUGGAUGGAAGCUUGUCUUUUUGACACGUAUCUUUCGGUGUUGGUCAAUGGUAGUCCUGUCGAGGACUUUGUUGGUUCGAAGGGAUCAGACAAGGAGAUCCGUUAUCUCCUUUUCUCUUUGCUAUAGUUGGUGAAGGGUUGGCAGGACUUGUGUCCAAGGCUAAGACAUCUAGGUUGUUCAAGGGUAUCAAAUGUGGGGAUCAUAGCAAAUACAACAUCCUCCAAUUUGCGGAUGAUACAAUUUUGAUGGGGGUGUGCAAAUAAUUUAUGGGAUUUGAAGGCUAUUUUUAGGGGUUAUGAACUGGUAUCUGGUCUGAAAGUGAACUUUGGUAAAAACAAAAUUUAUGGUUUAAAUACAAUGGAUUCAUUUUUAGAAGCAGGGGCAUAUUUUCUGAGUUGUUGUACUGACAAAAUUCCAUUCAAGUUUCUUAGAAUUAUGGUUAGAUCUAAUCCAAUGAGGGUGUCCUCGUGGAAAAGAGUAUCGAUUAUUUGAAGGCUAAACUUUCAAUGUGGAAAGGUGAGUUUCUUUCUAUAGGUGGAAGGAUAACGCUAUUGAACUCUACUCUCAACAACAUUCCCCUUUAUAUGAUAUCCUUCUUUAAAGCGCCCAAAGUCGUAUUGAAGACGAUUGUGUCAUUUCAAGCAAGAUUCUUAUGUCACGGGGUUAAUGAUAAGAAAGGGAUUAGUUGGACUAGUUUGAGCAUAGUUUGUAAAUCUAAGAAGGAAGGAAAAUUGGAUGUGAAAGAUAUUUCGUUGGUUAAUAUGACUCUCUUAGCUAAUUGGAAGUGGAUGUUCCUUCAUGAACGAGAAGCGAUUUGGAAGGAUUGACUGGAUUUUAGAUACAACAAAAUGAAGAAGGAAGUCUUUAAUAAAAUUUCUCCUAAGUCCCUGAGAAUGACCUUCAUUUGAUGGGGAGAUUUAACUUGUUUGGAUUCUAAUGCAAGCUAUUUGGUGGAUUGGUUAGUAAGCAACAUCCUAUGUAAGUUGCGAAAUGGCAAAAGAAUCUUAUUUUGGUGGAAUAACUGGUAUGGAGAACAACCCUUAUGUCUUGAAUUUCCGGAUGUGUUCAAAAAUUCUGAAUUUAAAUUCGCCACUGUAAGUGAAUUGGGUAGUUGGGGCAAUAAAGAUUUGUGUUGGAAUUUGUCCUUAUUUUCUGUUUCAGAUCAGCUGUAUGUACCUCAACUUUUGAGUUUCCAGCAAGAAUUGUCGUUGCUUGGUCUUUACAGAUAAGUGGAGGACAAUUUCAUUUGGAACGGUGAUGUAUCAGGUACAUUUUCGGUGAUGUCUUGUUAUAAGGGGUUGUUAAAGGAUCUACUUGAUAAUAGGUGUUAUUAUGAGGGUUUGUUGCAGCAUAAAAGGUUAUGGAGAACUAACGUCUCGUCAAAGAUUCAAAUUUUUGGAUGGCGCAUGAUUAUUAAUGACUACCAGCUUCUAAAAAGGAGUUAGAUAAGAGGAAGAUUAUUCAUAUUGUCAUUGAUCUCAUGUGUGCGUCUUAUUUUGCCAUUGAAAAAGAUUUAUUUCAUCUUUUAUUUUCUUGUUCGUUUGCUGCAAGGGUGUGGGAAUCUAUUUGGGAGUGAUUGGAGAUGGAGAUUUUUGUUGAAAACUCCAUUCUGAAUCACGCUAAAAAAAAUUCUAUCACUUAUGAGAGGUAAAUCUCUUAAGAGUAAGAAAAUAUCGGUUUGAUUGACGACGUGUUGGUGUUUGUGGUUACGAAGAAACAAUAUUAUUUUCAACAAUGUGGGAGCGAAUAAAGAAGAAACUUGCUAUAAUAUUAAAUUUUUGUCUUGGAAUUGAAUUGUUUUAAAAUUAAAAAGUGUAUUGGUAUUGUAUUUUUAUAAUUGGUGGAGAAGUCCGGUAGAAUAUCUCAAAUUAGAUUGAUGUUGUAAUUUGUUUUCAGCAUUGUUUGUGUUUCCUUUCAAUUUAUUUGCUUAUUGAAAAAAAUGAUAAUUUUAUUCAAUUUAAAUAAUAUUUUAAUUCAAAUUAAUAAGAAACUAUGAUAGAUGCAAUUCUGUAUUGUUUUAUAUAUUUUCAAAUAUGGUAAAAAAAAUUUAAAUUUAAAUAUAAUAAUUUAUUAUUACAAUCUAAUAAUAAGGCGACUAAAAUUAUUACUUAUCACACUAAUAAUGAAUUAUUACAUUAAGUUAAUUAUUAAAAAAGACAUAAUAAAAACAUAUUUUGAAAAAAAUAUUAAAAACACAUAAUAAUUAUAAUUUAAGUUGUUUUUUAGUUUUUCUAAAUAUAAAACUUAAUUAGAGGUUAUCAAGUAAAAUAUUCUAAAUUUUGUAUUUUUUAUGCUAACAGUAAUUUUUGAAAUUAAAAUUUGGUUUAUUUUGACUAUUCUAAAGCAAUAAUGGCCCACUACAACAAUAAAAAGUAAUUAAAAAAUAAGUAAACAACAGGAUGCAAGUCAUUCAUCUCGAGCGUUCAUUAAAUCAAUGGUGGACCAAAACUAUAUUUCCCAUACUAAAUGCCACUAGUAAUAAUAAUUAUAAUAUAGAUAUACUAUGCACAAUGUUAGCCAAAGUAAUUAGAAAACAGAAUUGACAAUGAGGGACAUAAAAAAUGAUGUUUUAUUAGGUAUAAUUAAGGUUAUCCUAUAACUAUGAUGAUAAUUCUUAUAUUUAUAGUAGAUGUAAUUAUGUUUUUUUAACUUUAAAAUUUUGGGCAAGAUCUUGCACUUGAGGAUGCAGUAGGUAUUAUUAAAAAGCUUGUACGAGCUAAUAACUUUGAUGACGCUUUUAUUGAACAAGCGAAAGAGAAAUAUUCGUACACAAUAAUAUAUACACCAUAUUCGAUCAAUAAGACAAAUACCUUCAUUAUUAUUUUAUUUUAAUACUUUUCGUUUUUAUCGAAGAAUGUAACUAUAUUUUAGUUUAAUAUCAUAAAAUUCAAGAUUCUCUCUCUAAAUAAUAGGUUAUGGUAUGGUAAAAUGUUAUGAAAAUCUGAUAGGGUCACUUUAACCGCAAUUUGGUUGAUGUUUUGAUCUAAUUUCUUAAUUAAUUAUAAAAUUUCAAUUUAAUCCUUUAAAUAAACGAUUGACUUAUUAUUUUAACUUUUGUCAUGUUGUCAUGUUAUAUCAUCACAACUUUAUAUCACGACAAUAAAGAGAAAUGAUUAAUUUGACUAACAGAAUAAUUUUCGAAGGACUAAAAUGUAACAUAAGAGAUUAAAAUGACACUUGAAAUUAAGUUAAGGGAUUUUGUGGUUAGGCUUUUUUUUUCUAUUUUUAAAUUUUGAAAUUUUAAGUCUCCUAUAUAAAAAAUGAUUUUAUAGUCUUUAAUUUUGAAUAGCAAAGCAAAAGUAUAUAAAUAACAAGAGUAAGUAUAAAGGAAGCUAAGAGCACUAGAAGUGCACAUGGACAACAACCCUGGCAACCGGUCAAGCUAGAAACGAAAUGAAAAGCUAAAGAGAAACAAAACCAGAAGGAAACAAACCAACUAACUACAAAAAACCAAACCAAACUAUCAAGCCAUACUACCUUGAGGCUACCGACAAGACAUGCCUAUGGAGAAAACACGUUCGCGAAUACAGCAAAAAAAACACCUACACAAAACCAAACUAUCAAGCCAUACUACCUUGAGGCUACCGACAAGACAUGCCUAUGAAGAAAGCACAUACGGGAAUACAGCAAAAAAACACCUACACAAAACAAAAGUAGGGCAGUUGACCACCAACACUACCUUAAAUGCCCAAUCACUUAAGCGAGUCCCGCUUCCAUUCAACUAGAGAAAUAGUAAGACCCGUUGAAUCCACAUCCAAAUCGAACUAAAGAUCAAAGACAUUCCGUGAAUAACCAUAAAGAUUUCCUGGUAAAAAAUAAAUUUGUUUCCCAUUUUUCAAAUAAUCCAACCAGAGAAUGCAAGAUCAAAAACAUAUAAGAUUGAGCAUGACAGAGGCCCCAGACGCCCUACCCACCUAAGACCUCUAUACCAAAUAUCUGAGGCCACCUUACACAAAAAGAGAAAUUAUCCAUCAACUCCACCUGCUCACUGCACACAGAACAAUCCUUAAAACUAGACUCCGACAAAUUUUACUUCUUAAAAGAUUUUACCUAAUUGAUAACCUAUUUUGAAGCUACGAACAGAAAAACAAAAAGAUGUCAAACUCUUCCAAAUCUAAGCAAACCCCUUUAUAACCAUCUCUGACCUAACUUCCUUAACUUUGACACAAUACUACUUUUCUAAUUCUUUGAAACAUGCUCGAAAUAUUUAACUUUUUUAGUUAUUAAAUAUGCCAAAAAAAAUAAAAUAAGUAGCUUUAUAUAAAAUGAGAAGGAAUGGAAAUCCCAUAAACAUAAAAUGGUGGGAAAAAUCGAUUUUUAAAUUGUGGGAUAAACAUGCACCGUAAACCUUUUAUAUUUAAGUUUUUGUUUUUUUAGAGAUGUGAUGGAUGCAAAUAGGAUAACAUUGAAAUAAUGUAAAAGACUUUAAGGGAAAAAAAGAAAACCUAAAGAUUUAAAAUAAAAAAAUAUAUAUCAACAUAUAUAUUGACAAUCAUAUUUCUUUUGAAUUUUAUAUUGUAUUGAUAUUGAUGUAGAUAAAGUUUUGUAAUCAUAGCUCAAUUCAGAAAUACAUGACACUGUUUUACCAAUUCAUUUUGUUGAUAUAUUAAAAGGAGGCUGAUAAUGAUAUCCGGCUGUUAUUACGGAUUGGAUAGAAGAAUGAUGCUAGAAAGGUUUGAAUUCUAGUUUUUAGGUUUUUAAUAUUUUUAUCUUCCCAUAAGUAAUGGGAUUAAUUGUUUGAAUUGGUAUCAUCUUGUUUUCUAUGAACUUUGAAUUGGUAUAACUCAGUAAACAGCAAAAGCUUUUCAAAUAUUUUAACACGACUAGAUUUUCAAAAUAAGUGAGAAGUCAGAAGAGAUUCAAGUUAAACGCCUAAACUCACUUUGUUGUUCUCAUUUCACCUUUGUUAGGUACACACUAAAUCAUACUAUUAAUAUUUAUAUUUGAAUGCAACCAUUUAUAUAUAUCUAUAUAUAAUAUAAAUAUAAUAUAUAUAAAUCUUUUGGAAUUAUGGAUUUAAAUAUCUUUAAGGAUUCUCACUAUUUUUCUCUCUACCUUGAACUGGUUGAUUUAUAAUUUUCACAGUUGAUCCAAGGUUUGUCCUUAAGAGUUCAUGACCAUAAUCAUGGUUUCUUGUAUAUUGCUCCCUAAAUGAACCAUCAACAAUGUCAAUAGCAAGUGACUCUGCUAUGUAUGCAAGUGUCUUAUUUAUUCCUACAUUCCACUUUUGUUUAGUUUUCUCCAUUAUAUCAGUCAAUUUUAAACUAGGAUUCUCUCUUACACUAUUUUGAGUCUUUUUGUCCAACCAUUUGGAAUUAAGGAACCUAACCUUAUAAUCCUUAUUGCAUGUUUGCUUGUCCACAAUUUUUCUCAACUGUCAAGUUUCUUCAUCUUGUAAUUUUGCACAAUAUGAAUCACAUGGACAACCUUACAUAUGACUCUCAUCCUCUUGUUAUCGUUUUUCUUAAAUUUCAAGUUUUUACCUAAAUGAAUAGCAUAUGUUCUAACUGCCUCUUUAAAUUCUUCCUUAGUAGCAAAAUAAGUCCCUAACUCCCACUUGUAAUCCUCCAUUCUUUUUGGAAGCUUGAAUGUUGGAAAAUCAUCUUUUAACACAUCUUCAUCUUUACUAUCAUACUCUUGGGAUUACUCAUCACUCUCAUAUUCCUCAAUGUUACUCAAACCUCUAAAGCUUUCCUUUGGAACCUCUUCAUCUUCACUAUCAAUUGAGCCACCAUCUUCAACUACUUCUUCCACCUCCCUUUGUUUCCUUGGUCUGCCAACCUUGGCUUUCCCCUUCCCUUUACCUUUUCCUUUGCCCGCCCCAUUUCCUUUAACUUUUCCUUUGCCAUUCCCCUUUCCUUUAACUUUUCCUUUGCAAUUCCCUUUUUUUCCCAUCCAUAGCAAUUUCUUCACCAAUUCCUAUAACAUCCUCAUAAGAAUCCUCAAAGUUCACAUUCAAAGCACUGUCAUUUUCACUACCACCAUCUUCAUCUUCUUGAUUAUAUUCCAGACCCUCAUCUUUAGCUUGGUUACAAAUAAGUCUCUCAACUACUGAAUCUUUUUGAACACAUACUAGAUAUGGCGUGCCAUUCAAUAUAUCAGCUUCUUGAUCACAUAUCAUAUAAUCAAUGGUCCCUCUAAAGUAAUAUCCACUAUUGCAUCCUCAGACACAGUGACCCCCUCUAAACUAACAUCCUGACAUGAAUCUUUUUGGUCAAUUUCCUCAGUGAUCCCAUCCAAAUUAACAUUCUCAAAUGAAUCUUCUUGGCCAAAUGCAGUUGUAUCUUCUACACUAGUGGUCCCUCCUUCAUCAAACUUGUCACCUAGAUUAUUCAAAUCUUCAAAAGUCCCCAAAUCAUCAAAAAAUCCUUUUACACCAUUAUUCAAAUCAUCCAAGGUGUCAUCUUCCAAUUUGCCUUCUUCUACACCAUUGGGUCCUACACUGUUUUCUAGAGACAAUAUUUUCUCUUUCCCAUAAACCAGAUGCAUGACAUAUAGAUGUACAUUCCCAUUGAUCAGUGCAAUCAUUUUCAUUCUAUUUAUUCAUGUAUCAUCUUUCAACAACACUAACUCAUUAUCAUUCAUUGUAUCAUAAUACCACAAACUCUCCACUUUUGAGUAUCCUAAAUCCUUUAACUCAUCCAACACCUCAAAAUAACUCCAUAAAUCAGGGUCGACUUGCCAAACCUCUUCUAACCCGUUGUAACCUAAUCUGUUAAAGUCAACAAACACACCCCGUGGUGGAUAACACACUCAAACCUAUCACUCAUGACCUAAUCACAUCAAGUAAUGCAGAAAUGAGUCUUCGAAGUAGGAGAAAAUGUUAAAGGUUUGCUUUUUAAAACAGUAAGCACAUAAACGUAGCUUAGACUAGAAAUGAACAAUGGUGAAAGUUGAUAAUUUGCGUCUUCUUCGUAGCUCCAACUAUCGUCUUCUUCUUCAUAGCUCCAACUAUCGUCGUCUUCUUCGCUCCAAUUUCUUCUUCUUCGUAGCAGCUAGGAUUUCAGACAAUGAGAGUAGAAUUAUGAACUAGAGUUCAAACAUUAUGUUUCUAAAAGAGAAAAUGAUAUUUCAUUCUUUACAUUAUAAUAAGUGUAUUAAUAAUUGAAACAACAAUAACAAUAUGUGUUUUAAUAAUUGAAACAACAAUAAGAAUAUGCCAUGUCAGUAAUUCACUAUGUCACGUUGGUGUUUUUUAACGUUUUUCCACUAUAAUUUAACAAAAGGGACAUAUAAGCUAACUAAGAUGUCUUAAAGAAUUAUAUUAUAACAUUUUUUAAUUGAGGGACUAAAUAGAAACAAUAAAUUAAUUUGAGGGACUAAAAAAUGAAUUAAACCUUUAAUAAAAAAGAGUAAGGACCAAUACCUUCGUUAACAUUGUUGUCAACUUUUAACUUCAAAGGUAAAAUUUUCUUUUCCAUAACAUAUUCCUUUCUUAUAUUAUAAAUGAUCUUUCUAUAUCUUUAGAUUAUAUGUCACGUUAAAAUAUCGAUAAUUAACACAACUUAAAACUAUUAUCGGUAAUUAACCCAACUUAAAACUAAUUACUUUUAACUAAUCUCUAGACACAAACAUUUGUUUUGUGUUUGGCUUUUAUGAUAAAAUAAAAUUUGCAUAUUAAAAUUAUUCUCAAUUAUAUUUAGAGGCUAUAAAAAACUGAAUUUCACUAAUUUAAUUAGUGAAAAACAUUUGUCAAUUUCAAUACAAUUUUUAGCAAUAAAUAUAUGUCUUUUACAUGAUUUUUACAAUAAAUUAAAAUUAAAAUAUUAUAAUAAUUAUUAUUUUUAUUUAGAAUAUAUUAUAAAAUAAAAAAAUUCAACUAAUUGAUUAGUCACAAAUAAAUGUGUAUCCCGUAUAUCAAUUAGUUGUAUGCUCAAAUUCAUUUUAUAGUGACUCAUUUUAUAAAAGCAAAUGUGAAAAGAUUAAAGUUAAUGUAUUAUUGGUUAAGGGUAUCCGAAUUUAAAUCGAUUCAAAUAAAAAUUGUAAAUUGAUCUAAAUAAUCAAAAAUUGCUAAAAUAAAAUAUUGAAUGUGUUUGUGUGACAUUUUAUAAAAUCGGCUUGAUUUAUAUCGAAUUUUUAUUUUAUUUUCUAAAACUUAUCCAAAAUGAACGAACCGUUUAAUACUUAUUUAUUAUUUUAGUAAUAUGAUAUAUUGUAUUAAUUUAUUAUUGUUUAAUUUUUUUAUUACUAUUUAUUUAUUUUUAAUAUUUUAUUUGUUUUAACCAUAAUUGAUCUUUCUCAUUUUCUAAUAUUACUUUAUAAUUUUUUACAUUAUAUUAAAAAAAAAUUAUGUGUUUUUAGUAUUACUAAUGAAAAAUAUAAUUUGUAUUUUAUAUAUUAAAAAAUCAAUUUAAAUUAAAUUGCAUGAAAUUGAAUCAGAUUAGAUUUUUUUUAUCCGAUAUUUCAGACGAACCACAAAUAAUUUUUAUCUUUUUUAAAAUAUAUAUAUAUAUAUUUAUAUAUUAUAUAUAUAUAUAUUAUUAUAUAUAUAAUUAUAUAUUUAUUAUAUAUAUAUAUAUAUAUAUAUAUAUAUAUAUAACACGAGACAUUAGAGUUUAAAGUAUAACACAAAAGUAGACAAGUUGCAGAAGAAGUACUAAACAAUAAGCCAAACAGAGAAAUACAACAACAACCAGAAUAACAACACAAAAAGAAUCAAAUGAAAAAACCAAUAUAGAAGAUGAGAGAGGCUUGGGAAGAUAAAGACCAAGAGCACCAAAGAGAACACAAGCUAGAUCUCCACACUCCUAGACCUGGAAAAACGACCUGAAUCUCCAAUGAGCAGCAAGAACAUAACUAAUGGAGGUCAAACACUCUAGAUGCUAUUGGCUUAAAUACAUGAUAAGUUCUCAAGUUAGACAGAGAAAGUAUAAAGUUGUCCAUAGACCUACCAAAAUACCAUUUUCAAGCUAAAAGAAUGCUCAUAUCUUCCACGUUCUUCGCUGACACCAAUUUACCUGAAAAAUAUAUAUCAUUAUGAAAUUUUUAAAUCGAUCAGAACACAAUAUCGCAAAUCAUAAGACACCUGACGGAGCAAUCAUUGGAGUCUGUGGGCCUAUGCCUCCACUGUUAUUCCACACAUACAUGCAUUACUAAUAUGAUUAAUAUUAAUAUUAAUAUAUAAAUAAAUUAUACAAUAUUAUAAUUGAUUUAACUUUUUAAUAUGUAAUUCAAUAUUGAAAUAAGUGCUAAUUACAAUUGAAAUCAAUGAUAAUAUACUAAGUAUUAGAUGUCAUGAAAUUGAUAUUAAAUUUUGUAUUAAAUGUAUUAAUAUUUAUAUUGAAUUCUUAGUUAAAUUAUUAGAUAAUAUGAAUCACCUAUUAUUGUGACAUAUAAUUAAGGCAUGUUUUUUUGUACCUUUAGUUUUUGUUGGGUACAUGUAUUUUUAUUGUUAUUUAAUUUAAAAUUAAAAUAAUAUUAAAAAAUAAUAUGGUAUUAUAUAUUUUAAUAUCUUUAAUAUUAAUUGAUUUUAAAUUUUAAUUUUUAAAAUUAAAUAAUAUUAAAAAUGAUGUGAUAUUUCUAUAUUUUCAUUGUAGAGAAUAAUUAAUGACUCUUAAAUCCAAAUUAAACUUUAGAUCUUUUACUUGUUUUUUUUAUAAUUAUUGUCAUUAUACUUAGAGACUAAAAAGCUAUUAUAUUAAUAAUGAUAUUUAUUUUUAAAAAUAAUACAUACUUUACAUUUGAAAUAAUAUAUUUUAUUUUAAAUUUAAUUUAAUUAGUAUAUAUUAUUAAAUAAUAUAAAAAGUUACAUUAUAUUUAAUUAUGUCUCACAAAUAAAAAUAUCAUACAAAUAUUUUAUAACUAUUAUUAAAAAGUAGCAUAAUAAAAAAUAUUUAGUAAUAUAUAUAUAUAUAUAUAUAUAUAUAUUAUAUAUAUAUAUAUAUAUAUAUAUAAUAUAUAUAAUAUAUAUAUAUAUAUAUAUAUAUAUAUAUAAUAUCUAUAUAUUAUAUAUAUCAUAUAUUAUUAUGCCCCCAUAUGCUAAUUUUCCUGGCUCCGUCCCUGGGGUAAAAUAUAGAUCAACCAAGACAACUAAAUAUCAUAUACCGCACAAAAAUCACUACAUCAUAAGUCAUAAAUAGAUGAGAGGAUGAAUCUAGAAACCUCAAACAGAAACGUCAAGAAAACUAUUACUUUAGAGUAAAUUCUCUCUGGUAGGAAUCCUAUCUUGCAUGAGUUGCAAAGAGAAAACUAUUACUUUAUAGGGACCCUAGCUACUCCAGAUACUAGGAAGAUUCGACUCCAUUAUCGAUACCUGAUGAUCUCUAGGAAGCUCACGAGAUAGAAGAAUAAUGUACGUUGAAGCCACAAAAUAAGAACCAUUAUUAGAGUGACUCCACCGCCACUUAUAGGGCCAUGAGGAAAGGAUAAAAUCCCUAAUUAAUGAGAGGAGAGGAGAUACCAAAACUUGUUCAUGCUCAAAAAUGCAAAAUCUUCUUAACCAUAUUAUCCUAAACCAAUCAAAAGGGUGCUUCCCUUUGGAACCAAGAAGGGACACCCCUCUCCACCAAGAAGAAACAUAGCAAAGGUUAUGAGUUCUACCUCCUAAAACAAAAGAAGUUGGGAUAACACCAUAGCGACCAGACAAGAUAUCUAUCCAGACCCCUAAAUCUUUCAGAGCAACCACCAUCUCCACUUACCCAGUAGAACUAGAUUAACUAACCGAAGGUCAUAGACACAAGAUCCCUAAGCUUCUUGAGCUUACAAACAUCAAACCACCUAACCCAAAUAAUCUUUAACCCUUUCCUCACUAUACCCCCACAAAAAUCUCCUUUGAACUUUCACAAUCUUCUUCCAAACCUUAACAAGCAUCUUUAAAGCAGAUAAAUAGAAGAUAGAAAUUUCAUUAAGAAUAAAUUAAAAAGAACCACACGCUCUCCGAAGGACAGAUAUUUAUGCCUCCAUGAGUGAAGUUGCCUAAUGAUGAUACUGUUAGACGAUAGUACUGAUCUAAAAAUAGAUCAGUGUUUAAAAAUUUAGCGUUUUUAAAAUUGUUUUUAAAGGUUUCGAAAGCUCCCUAGACCAUGAUCGUCUAAACAAUCCGUUACUGAAAAGAUCGGAUAUGCAUGAAACCUAAUGGAACGACUAAGAUAAAGAUAAUCAAUAACUAUCUUAAUCAAUCGAUCAAAUACACAAAUCCUUGAUAUAAUUACUGCUAAUGAUGAGUUAACACAAUAAGAGAACAAGCAAAAUAUUGAUAAAUUUGUGUGAAGUUAAUUUUAUCAAACACUUGGUGUGCACAUUACACCAGGUCUCAAUUUCACUAGAAUUAAUUAUGCAGAAUUUUCUUUAGUUGCAAUUAAAGUGAUUGCAACAAUUUAUCGAACAACUUUAAUACACAACAAUUAAGCGAGAUAAAAUUUGCAAUUAAUUUCAUACAAGAUUUAAUUUAUGCAGAAUUUAAAGAGUUAGAGAAAGAGAGAACAACACCAAAUUUGUUUAGGCAAUUCCCCUUUCGUUCUCGCUUAGGGUACGUCUGCCCCCAAUUAUAAAACUAGAAUUGAGAUAUUUAUUAUCAAAUUGCAAAGUUUAUACAAGAGAAAAAAUGAUCACCACCAAGCAAACCUAAGUGUUGUUUCAGAUCCUAUUCACUUCUCUCCCCUUGAUUUGAGUUGAACAAAGUGCUUCAAACGUUCCGAACAAACCUCCGAUUGUAGCUACCUUAUUGCAAGAACUCCACCUUCUCCAAAACUCUAGCUCUGUUGAUUUCGAUCGGAUAUGCGUGAAACCUAUGAUUGUAGCUACCUUGUUGCAAGAACUCCAAGUUCUCUAAAAUUCUAGCUCAGAUGAUUUCAAUCGCGACACACUUGAACCCAAACCUUUCUUCAGAAUCCUCUGGUUACCGUUACUUGUUUGAAUGAACCCACCAUUCUUCAAGCCUUUCACUCGGCUGAAUCUAUAAAGCAAAGAUUUGUGCAAAAAACCCCAAUUCUUGAAGGACAAAACCCUACGUUUUUAUUCAAGAAAAACCCACUCAAAGCCUCCACCCAAACUAAGAUUACACAAUCUUAUUUGGACGUUAUCACCACAAUAAUGCACUAUGAUCAACAAAAAUUGUUAUGUGUAGUUGUUGAAACAUGCAAUGAAGAAUAAAGAUGAAAAGAAACUUUAGUGUAUAUCUUUCACUUUUCUUGUUAACUGUUGAAAAAGAAACUCUAGAAUAUAUAUAUAUAAAAUAUAUAUAUAUAUAUAUAUAUAUAUAUAAUAUAUAUAUAUAUAUAUAUAUAUAAUAUAAAUAAUAAUAUAUAUAUAUAUAUAUAUAAUGCAUAGACCAAGUCACAAACACAACAUAAUAUUUUUGCAUAAAUACACAGUAGAAAAUUGAGUAACAACAGCGACCACUCGACCUGUUCACACAGGUCACUCGACCUGUUCACACAGGUCACUCGACCUGUUCAGACCCGUAGCAAAAUAACUCAAGUGAAAUAGGCUAAGAGUCGAUUCAAACAGGAGAUGAUUCGACUUAAACAGGUUUUUCCAGAAAUGAGUCGACCUAUGACUCGACCUGUUCAGACCCGUAGCAACAUGGUUCAAAUGAAACAGGUAAUAAGUCGACACAACAGGUGGAUAAGUCGACUCAUCUUGUUUUUCUAGGAUUGAGUCAACCUAUGACUCGACCUGUUCAGACCCGUGAGUUACACAUAAUGUGAUAUGCAUGAAUGAGUCGACCGCUCCAAGGCAUGAGUCGACUCAAAGUUCUUAAACGGUCAAAAAUGAGUUUUUGAGACGUAUUUUGGUAAAUUCAAACCAUUCUCUUAUGAACCUAAGGUACCAACGAUGAUCAAGUGUAUUAUUGACAUAUAUGAGAUGCUCCUAUAUGCAUGAACACAUUAAACUUAUACUUUGAGCAUGUUAGAGAAUGAAUGCACUCUAUGAUAUGAUGACACCGUCCAAAGUACACAGUAUGAGCAACUAAAAGGGUUUGACAUCAUUAAAACAAGGACUACGAACCUUUGCCCUCACAGAUACUGGCUAAGGGUUCCCACGUAAUUAACAAGUGCAAAUUUGCUCCCACUAGUAGGCCAAGAUACCUGAACGACAGAGCUCCUUGCAGACAAUGGAGAAAAUCAUAAGCUAGGUCAAGGGAAGCAGGACCAGAUGUUGAAUUGUAAUUCCUUGUGUCGAAGCACGUUGCUCGACAUAACAAGGAAGUGUCAAACCACCUAGUAUGUUAAGUUGUGUUAGUGUGUCGAAGUGUCGAAGCAUGUUGCCUCACACGGGAUUUCGACUUAUGCCUAUUUUAGUUGUGUUAGCUAUUUUGGGCUUUUAUAGUUUUGGGCUUUGGCUUGAGGUCCAAGUUAACCUAAAUCUAUAAAUAGAGUGAGUAACCCUUAUUCUUGUAAUGAAGCGACUUAUGCCUAUUUUAGUUGUGUUAGCUAUUUUGGGCUUUGGCUUGAGGUCCAAGUUAACCUAAAUCUAUAAAUAGAGUGAGUAACCCUUAUUCUUGUAAUGAAGUGAAUAGAGUAUUCAUAGCAAUGUAUUCACAGUAUUUUGCAGUUGCAAAGUGAAUAAGAAGUUUUCCAUAGUUUGUGGGCAGAGAGAAACUCUGCAUAAUUUAAUUCUUCUUCUCAUUCAGCGUUCUUUACACUCUUUCUUUCUCGAUUAUUUUUCUCUUUUCAUUGCUAUUGUGUGGGUAAUAACAAUCUUGUUCAUCAAGAUUGAUUGAAAUUCUCCAUAGGUUUUGGAGGAUUUCCAACAUUUGGUAUCAAGAGCUCCGGUUGAAACGAUUCGUGGGAAGAAAAUCACCAUGGCAACGAAUCAUCCAAACAUACAUUUUCCAACAAAUCUUCUGAUUCUCAAGAACAAUAAUUAUGGGAAUUGGUGCAAGCAGAUCAAAGGUUGUGUUCUGUUAUCAAGAUCUUUGGGAUCUUGUGAAGGAAGGAGUAGCAACGCUUGCAGAAGCCGCGACAGAUCAAGAAAAGGCUUCAUAUAAAGAAUUGAAGAAGAAAGAUUAUAAAGAUCUCUUUAUAAUCCAUCAAUGUGUGUAAGACCCCAAUUUUAUCCCUAAGAUCCCUCAUGCUAUCUCAUCAUAUGCAUUAGCUUUGGGAUCACACUUUGGCAUCCUCCUUACCCCUCAUUCAUUGGGUUUGCAUUGGGAGAGGUCAUCAAGAACAUUUUAUUUUAUCAUACUUUGUUUUUCAUUAUUUACUAACCAAAAUACUAAAAAUAUGUCAAUGUAUAAUUUACUUCUUUUGUAGGUAGUGUGUGUGCUCACUUAUGCUUCAUCAAGCUCACAUCUAGGGUUUGAGACACUCAAUGCAAGGAGACUAAUCAAGUGAUGGUUAACAUUGACUCUAGACAUAAUAUAUGGGUCCACAUGAUCUUCAUUUAUCAUUUUGAUCAAGAAUUCAUCAAGAGUUUGAAGCUUGUUUGCCUUGGAAGCCCGAAUACAUCUGGGUAUCUUGUGUGACUUCCUUAGCAAGUUUCCUCACCAUUUGAUCAAAAAUUUAAAGGCAUACUUCAUAUUACAUAAUUUUAUGCAUAUAUGAUCCUCCAUGAGUCUAAAAGAUCAAUAUAAUUUCAAGUUUGCAAGUUGGUUCAUGGUGGUUGACCAGAGAAAGUCAACUGGUCAAAACUGGGGUUCACUAGACCCUAUCUCCUACACCUUUUGCAUUAUGAAAAUUAUUCCAAGAUAAAAGUUACUCCUUAUGACAUUACAAACAAAUUUCAUGUUGAAUUAAAGAUCUAGGUUUUAUUGGAAAGUCAUUUUUUAUGGUGAAAGAUUAUAGGUCAUUUUGUUUGAACCCUAGCUAGAAGGUUAACUUCCAAGGACCAUAACUUGCUCAAUUUUUAUGAUAUGAAAGCCAUUAAAGUUUCAUGAUCAAAUUCAAUAUGUCCUCUUAAACUUUUAUUCUUGUAAGAAAUUCAAAUUCAAAUUGAAAGUGCAUGUUCCAAAAGGAAAUACAAUAGGUCAUUUUGGGUCAUUACCAUUGAACAAGUGACUUUCCUCAACUUCUAAAAUGCAUAACUCCUUCAUGCCAAAUCCAAAUGAGCUAAAAUUUGUGACCAAAAUGAGAAGGCUUGAAAUAGCUACAACUUUGAUGAAGGAAAGUUUUCCAUUUAAAGCACAUAGCAAAAGUUAUUCAAGGUGGAAGAAGUGAACAUUUGACUUGGUACUUAGAAAAUUUUCAAAUAUGUUUGAUUUUCCAAACUUCCACCUCAGAAUUAAUCAUGAUCGAAGAUUGAAAUGGAAAAAUGUUCAAUAUGAAAGUUGUUCCCCUUGAUCUCACCUUUCCAAAAAGUCCAAGAUCAUCUCAUUUGUCCAAGAAUUGGAGGACUUGCGCAUGGUUUCUCUUCAAGGGUUCAUUUGGAUGAAAUUCACAUUCUCAUUUCAAAUUACAUUGCAUGAUCACAUGACAUGCUUUCAGCAUUGCACAUGAGGGAUUUUGGACCUGAUUGCAUCAUUUCAUGGGCCUACCACACGACCAUGCAAGCAUGCAAGUGAAUUGCUAUUUUUGGCCAAUUUUAAAAAUGUGUAGAAAGCAAUUGCCCUGCCUAUAAAUAAGACCCUCGUUGCUCAGAAUUAAGGACCCCUUGCCCAAGCUUUGAACCUGCAAUCCAAAACCCCACCAUUAGAGGAUAAUCUUGAAGGUUUUCAUUUGAAAAUCGAGUUUCAAAUCUCCUUUUGUUUUGAGAUUGAAACUCCAAGAAUCCAAGCCUUUCCUUGAUACAAUUCAACUCCUACAAGCUUCUAAAGUCAUGUCAAGGCCAAUUGGAAGCAAGAUCAAGCAUGUUUCAAGCUCCCUCGAAGGUGAUUUUCCAGAAUUUUCAUCUCUUCAAUUCUCUCUCAAUUCUUCACCAUUCUUUGUGAUUUUUGGUUGGCUGAAGUCCUACCAAUGUAGGCAACAAGAUUGAGUUACUUUGAGGUCAAACCGAAGCAACUCGGUUCAUGAUCCUCAAAAUUCAAAUCCCUGUAUCUUUCUAUAUACUUGGAAUUGGAGAAAAUUGAGGCCAGAUUUGUGAUCCUGAGCAUUUUCUCUUUGAAAUAGUGUCAUUUUUUUUCAUUUUCCAUUGAGAUGAAGUUGGACCAGUCCGGUGGAGGUCACUGGAGAAGGUGACCGAAGCCCUAGCUCCGGUGGUGUGUCGGCACACCUCUUGGCCAUCUGAUCAUGAUUGGAUGUUAUAAUCUGGACCAUUGCUUUUGAUUACUACGCGUACAUCUCUUUGACUUAAGACCACUUUGGAACACGCGCGUGUGGCCAUCAGAUAUGCCACCUCAAUUAAUGAGGGAGAUCUGAUGACCCUUGUUUUUUCUAUUUUUAUUUUAAUUUACGAUUUUAUGUUUAAUCCUUUUAUUUUGUUUAAUUCAUAUUAAUUUCAUUUUUAAUCCAAAAAAUAUGGAACUUUCACCAAAAAUCUUUAAAUAUUUUUCUCUUUCAUAUUCUGACUUAAAAUUAUUUUUUGGAUUAAUUUUGAUAUUUUUCAUGAAUUAAGUGUUUUUGUGCAUAUUUUUAAUUGUUUAAAAAUACUUCCGACUUUUCAAAAAUCAUGAAAUUUUUUGUCUAAGGUCCUUUGACCUUGUUUGACCUAGGAUAAACUUCUUGGCCAUUUAUUUGGUGUUUUGAAGAGAUUUUAGAUUUUAACCAAAUUAAAAUGUAUUUUAAUUCAUUUUUUAAUUGAUUAAAUAUGUAAAAAUUAUGUUGAGCCAUUUUUAUGGUCUUGUGAUGUUUGACUAUUUGUUUGGGCCUUGGUCAAGGUUUAUUUGACUUUUGUUGGAUCAAAACCAUUGAUAAAAUCCUCCCUUGGUCAAUUUGUGUUUCUAUCUUCCCCUCAUUCUUCAUCUCCAUCCCUAUUCUUUCCUAUUCCCUCAUUUGACCAAUGAAAUCUCUAAUGUCUUAAGGCUAAUUGGUUCAUCAAUGACCUUGUGUCAGAUGAACCAAUAUAAGUAUGACUGAGAUAGGCCCAUCCCUCUUGAUCUUUUUCUUUUAGUGUGUGGUAUGUUUUAGGAGUUUGGUUCAUCAUACCAAAUCUCUAACAUGCAUUAACACCUAAAUUUUUAUUUCUAGGCCUCAGAUAGUUGUGACUUCUAUGUAAGUCCAAUUACGAUUGCUUAACAUAGAGAUAAAUUUAACCCUAAAGGCAUAACAUUCUAGUAAGUGAGAUUGUAAGUCUCCCAUUCUUCAUGGUAUUAUGUGGAAAUUUGACCUUUUUUUCCUUUCAUGGGAGCUAGCGGCAUACUUAUUGAAUUAUCCAAGUUGGAGCCCUUCUCAUGAAAGAUGUUUUGGUUUAAGGAUUCAUACUUGUGAAAGGAUGGUUGAGUUUUCUCCAAAGAAUGACUUAAUCAAUUAAAAAACAUCAUUAACCAUUGACUAACAUUUGACUAUUUCUUAUUAAUAUUGCUUUACUUUAAAGCCAUUUACUUUAUGCAAUUUAAAUUUCAGUCAUUUAUCAUUCAUUGCCAUUUACAUUGCAUUUAACUUGUUUAUGUUUAUGUCAUGUGAUUGUCAUGUUUAUGUCAUGUUCAUGUUUAUGUCAUGUUCAUUUUGCUCAUUUGAGCCAUAUCUUGUGAUUGUAUAUAUUGUUCGUUGUUUUGAUUUUGUUUAUGGUCUUAGGACCUUAAAAUACUUAAUAACAACAAAAACCCUAAAAAAUAUUUGAUGGACUGUUGAUCUUGAUCUGAACUCUUGGACUUAGAAUUAGGCAACAUUCCCUAUGCAAAAAGGACUUGGCCAAUGCCAACAUUUUGAGACCAAGCUAUUAUGAACCGUGCCUUCAAUUGAUGCAAGCCUUGGAUCUUGUUUGAAUUUAUUCUGCUACUCUGUCUUUGUGCUGAUUGUUAUUUUGACCUUGCGUCUGAUGCUUUGCUUUAAGUUGAUCAAGGAAUAUUUCAUCUAAUAGAUGAGAAGACAAAGAAGACUGCUAGCUUUAGGAUUGCUUGCCUAGAUGUGGCUAUCUUUAUUUGAUGCCUUAUUCUUCAUAAUGUUUGGACAUUUCUCAUUGAUUACUGAUUAUUGCUUGAUUAAAUUCCAAAGGGAAAUGAGUUUCUAUAUGACAUUAUUGUCCGUUCGAUUGCAUCCCAUUGGUCAGAUCUUUUCAACUAUUAACUUUUAAUUUUAUGCUUAGGGUAGUCUCUUCAUCUCCUCCCACUUCUUAAAUUUCAAAAGUCUCUCCCCCUUUCCAAAACCUUCUUUGCUUGUGAUUUCAAAACUUAGACUUUGUUUUAAUGAUUAGAAACUUUGGCCUUAUGCCAAUGAAUUUUCAAACCUUUUUUCUUAUAUCAAAAUUUUAAAUAAACUUAAGCAUAUUGACUUGACAUUUCAAAAAGAUAAAAAGAAACUAACAACUUCACUCAACUUUUGGGUCUUUUUGUGCCUUUUUCUUAUUUAAACCUUUUGUUAAAAGCAAUUCACCAACUUUGAAAAUUUUACCGCGAACUACGAGGUUUUGAUCCCUCAUUUUUAUGUUGGUACGUAGGCACAAGUUCGAAGGUCUUGUCAAACACAAAAAUAUAAUCAAUGAAUUCUUUUCUCAUCCCCACACUCUAUUUUUCUUAAACAUCAUCUAUGCCAAACACAUAUGCACAAAUAAAAAGGGCUCCCUAGGAGUACCUAGGACACAUUGGGUGCUAACACCUUCCCUUUGUGUAACCAACCCCCUUACUUAUAAUCUCUGACAUUUUAUUAGUUUUGAUUUGAAAACUUCUUAUCUUUGGAUUUUGUUUUUACUUUUCCCUUUUCCUUUGAAAACAAUAAAAGCGCGGUGGCGACUCUGGUUUUAUUGACGUUAAGCUUAUCCAUAGCUUGAUGGUCAUGAAUUUACCGCCAUAAUAUGUUGAUGUAGAUAACUUUGAAAAGGUUAGUGAUGCAGAGUCAAUGAAAGAAGCAUGGGAAAUCAUGGAUAAAUCGUUUGGCUGCGCAAGAAGGUGAAAAAGGUGAGGUUACAAACUCAUAAAAGGACGUGUGAAUUGCUUCAGAUGGAAGACAAUGAAAGCAUAACUGAUUUCUUCACCAAGGUUAUGAAACCGGUGAAUCAAAUCAAGGUAUAUGGAGAAGUGUUGACAUCAAGAUCUAUUGUUGGAAAGAUCUCGAGGUCGUUGGCUCCAAAGUUCGACCAUGUGAUAGUAGCCAUAGAAGACUCGAAAGAUUUGUCAAAACUGACAAAGGAAGAGCUUCAAGGGACGCUUGAAUCUCAUGAACAAAGAAUGUAUGAAAGAGCUGCAGGAAAGUCAAAGAGUGAUAUAGCUUUGCAGGCUCAAUUAGCAAAAGAAAGAAAAGGCAAAGGAAGCUGGAAUGGCACCAAAGACAGAGAAUGUUACAAUAAUUUGACUGGUUGAAACCAGCAAGAAGGAAACUGAUCGAAUCAGAGAAAACCUUAGAAUUAAGGAAACCAAAGAGGUAGUGUUACAGGUAGAGGAAAAGGUGGUGGUCAAAAGCCAGACAAGAGUCACAUUCAGUGUUACAGUUGUCAAAGGUAUGGUCACUAUUCUAGUGAUUAUCAAGAAAAGCAUAAGAAUCAAGAAACUUAUGCAAAGCUGGCGAAACACAAAGAAGAAGAGACGGUGUUGAUGGUUAUAACAAACGAAUAAGAGAGAUUCAAGUGUUGGUGUAAGCCAUAAAGGCCAAUACGUUUGGUACUUGUAUCGAAUUAUUUAUUAAUAAUAAAAGGUUUUUUCUUUAUUAUGUUUGUUUAAUAAAGUCCCUAGAAUAGCUAGUCCGUUUAAUGUAUCAAGUGUGACUUAAUCAUGAGAUUCCAUUAAACAUAAGGACAUUAUUCUUAAAGUAUCUGUAGUCGAGCUUUAUUGUAAAGUGGUAUAACAUUAAAGCAUUAAGACUAUUAUGUAUAUAGACUGAUGAUCACAUCUCAUGGAUCAUGGAUAAGGAUUUAUCAAGUCUUAAACAUAGGUAUGAAUAUUAAGAGUAAUAUUUAUAUUGGAUUGACCCGCUAUGAGAAUACUAUAUAGAAUGUUAUGCAAAGUGUCAUAAGUUAUUCUCAUGGUGAUAGUGGUGUAUACUACCCUUCGACCUGAAACCACUAUGGACCCUAGAUGUAGAGUCGAGUGCCUUAUUGCUGAUCAAACAUUGUCCGUAACUGGAUGACCAUAAAGACAGUUGAUGGGUACUCCACGAAACAUGCUGAGGGACAUGAGUGACCUAGAUGGAAUGUUCCCAUCUUGUGUAGUAGGAUAAAAUUCUAAGGGCCCAAUAUUGAACUGGACAAGGAUGACACAGUCAUACCUUGUGCUCAAUAUAGACAUAAGGGCAAAAGGGUAAUUGUACACAUAAGUAUUAUCACAAAAGGAUUUGUCAGAUCACAUUACAUUUACGUGUCUUAGGUAGCAGUGAUAUGUUGCUAGAUACUGCUCACUGUUUAUUAUGUUAAAUACGUGAUUUAAUAUAAUUACCAAUGUCGCGAGAACCUACAGGGUCACACACAAAAGGAUGCAUUGAUGAGAGAUAAAUUAAAUAAGGAACACCAUAAGGUACGAUGCACUUAAGAGAAUUGUAGAACAUCGUAAGGUACGACGCACUUAAGUAGAAUACGAAAUAUGGUAAGGUACCAUGUGCUUAAGUGAUUUUGGUAUAUCAUAAGAUAUGAGACACAUACACUUAAGUGGACUUCUUAGCUUACAGCCCCCACAAGUGGUUCUAGAAAUAGAACCUUUGUGUAGAAGCAUUUGAGUAUAUGAAAUUUUGUUUCUCUCUCUCUCUCUCUCUCUAUCUAUCUAUCUCUCUAUCUCUCUCACUCACUCACUCAAAGCCUUCAUUCAUAGUAGCUAGCCAUUAGAUUGAAGGAAUCCGUUCGUGUGGACUGAGUAGACGCGUUGUCACCAUUCAACAUUCGUGAUCGCUCCUUAGAUCUCCAUCAAAGGUUUCAAUCGCCAUAAGAGGUAACGAUUCUAUCACUGACCAUGCCCUUUCGAAAGGAUCACUAAAGGAGAAAUUUUUAAUUUCCGCUGUGUUUUGGAUCGCUAUUCUCCUUCAGUGGUAUCAGAGCCACUUACGAAACCAUGCAUCUGAUAGCUGUUUAUUUUCUGUAUUUUCUGUAUUAAUACAAUUAAAAGAUAGAAUGAAUCAAAGAAUAAACGAGUAAUUAAAUUUGGCAUCAUGUGUGUAGGAUUUGGAUGGUUGAUGUUGACUAUGCUUCAGAAUCCGAUGUUAGUAUGGUAAAGCAGCAAUACAUCGAUCAUCCAUAGGUUACACAAUUGAUAUCGAUCAAGUUAUAUAUAUAUAUGAUAUAAGUAAUUCUGAUGCAAAAUACGGUAUAUAUGAUAAACUGUUUCUGUUUCGUUCAUUCAAACACUUAAUGGUUGUUUUCUUUUGAGCGAUCAAUGGUCAUUUGCUUCUUGAUCCGACAUUAGUAUAGUGAAGCAAUGACGUGUUGAUCAAUCAUACUGAAUUAACAAUCGAUGUGUGUUUGACAGUAUGAAAUUGCUGCAUUAGGGUUCAUGACAGUACAAGGGUUAUGCAAUUAGGGUUGUGACUGCGCAAGAGUUGUGCUUUAAAGUAUCAAGUGUUGAUGCGAAAAACAACGUCGAUUUCAAAUGAAUUGUUCAUUAAAAUUUUGCGUCGGGGCGCUGCCCAGGCUAAGUUUGCGUAGUGUGAUCGAUCGCCGAAAUUUAAUUUGGUUUAUUUAAUUAACAUAAUUUAAAUUAAUAAUAAUGUGUUUAUUAUUAGUAUCUUGUGGUGAUCGGUUAUGGCCUUAGUUUUUCUUUAUUUUGUUUUGGGAUUUUAAAAUACGACCUGUGUGUCGUGCCUCUCUUUUAAUCUCUUAAUGUAACUUCUUUUCUCAUCUCACUCCCUCGUAUGUAAAAUGAGUUUCUUUUAUGUAAUGUGAUGUUAUGAAGAAUGAGAAGAAUACAAUAUCAAAGGAGGACAAUAUUGAAGAUCUUGCUUGGAGAAGCUUAGAUCGUUAUUAGGUUAACUUAGGUUCUCUCAUUGGCUUGGGAGAACAAUUGCGCUAGGGGCCAUAACUGUUUCAUUUUGUAUGUAUGUUGAUGCAUGUAAAUAUAUGUUGAUGCAUGUGAGAGACGAUUUAUAUGAUAAAUAAGCCGGUGAGAUCAGAAUAAUUGCAAAUUCCCUCAAAUUAAGUAUUAAGUUUAUGCUUUCUAAGUUUUAGCACUCAUCAAGACUAGUAUCGAAUAAUGUAGGUUUCUCCUACGCGAGGUGCAUAUUCUAUAUUAGUAAGGUGUGAUGGGAUAAUUGUAUUAUCCAAUUGCUAAAACAAUGGGUCAAACUUAACUAAACAAAUUAUAAUAAGAUUAUAUAUGUUUAGAACCAAGAGUUGGAAAUGAUCCAUGUGAUGAAUUGGAAUAAGGAGUUAUUCACCCAAAUAAAAUAUUCGAGAGUUGUAUUAGAUACAAUUGGAAGGAGUUCCUAUCUAAAUAACCUAGUUUUGUGUAAUCCGCCUAAAGUGAAAUGUGGAUCUCGAUCCACUAGAAAGUCUUCCAACAGGAUUUUCUGAAUCAAAUGGUGAGGGUCAUUUGUUUUGAGUAAAAUAGUGGGAGCAUAUUUAAUUAAAGGCCUAAUUAAAUAUGUUAUUGAUACUUAUAUUUUUAUUAUUUUCAUGUAGAUUACCAUUUAUUUAAUUAAAGGCCUAAUUAAAUAUGUUAUUGAUACUUAUAUUUUUAUUAUUUUCAUGUAGAUUACCAUGACAACAAACACCUCUAACAACAUUUUGCGAUCAAUCCUUGAUAAGGAAAAAUUGUCUGGGACAAUUUUUUUGGAUUGGCACCGAAAUCUGAGGAUUGUCCUCAAACAUGAUAGAAAGCUGUAUGUCUUGGAGAAACCUGUUCCUGAAGAGGAACCUCCUAGUUCUUCGCCUAAGGAAGAAAGAUAUGCUUAUAAGAAGCAUGCCGAUGAUGCCAAUGAAAUUUCUUGCCUCAUGCUAGCUACCAUGAACUUAGAGUUGCAAAAGCAACAUGAGAACAUGGCAGCGUUCGAUAUGAUUGAACACCUGUAGAUGCUCUAUCAAGAGCAGGCAAGACAUGAAAGGUUUGAAGUUUCAAAAGCCCUUUUUCAAGGCAAGUUAGCUGAGGGAGCCCCUAUAGGUCCCCAUGUGCUCAAGAUGAUUGGGUAUGUGGAGAACCUUGAGAGGUUGGGUUUUCCCCUCAGAAAGGAACUUGCAGAUCGACGUGACUUAUCAUGGAUCAGACCAUGUCUAACAAGGUUCGAUUUCUUCUCUCACAUACACCGUUCCAUUGGGGUGUUCCAUGAGGAGUAAGUUGGGAUAGAAUCCCACACUCUUUCAGAUGGUCAUCAAACUCUAGGCUUAAAUACUCACCACCUUGAUCUGAUCAAAGAGUUUUAAUAUUCUUACCUAUUUGGUUUUUUUACUUCAUUCUUGAAUUCCUUGAACUUUUCAAAGGACUCUGAUUUGUGUUUCAUUAAAUACACAUAACCAUAUCUACUGAAAUCAUCAGUAAAUGUGAUGAAGUACUGAAAACCUCCUCUGGCUGAUAUGUUCAAUGGUCCACAUGCAUCAAUAUGUAUGAGGGCAAAAGAUCAUUAGCUCUUUCACCUUUUCCUGUGAAUGGAGACUUUGUCAUUUUUCCAAUUAAACAAGAUCUGCAUGUCUAUAUGAUUCAUAAUCAAAAGAGUCCAAGAGUCCAUCUUAUGGAGUUUGGAAAUGCGUUUCUCAUUAUGUGGCCUAAUCGACAAUGCCAAAGGUAAGUUGGAUUUAACUAAUUAGGUUUCAUCCUUUUAGUAUUAAUGUUAUAAAUAGGCAUUUCAAGAUCAAGGACAUAUAAUCCAUUAUUCAUUUGUCCAGUAACGUAGAAUAUAUUCAUUCAAAUAAAUGGAGCAACAAUUUGUCUUUUAUUAUAAAUGAAAAACCAAACGUGUCCAAACAAGAAACGGAAAUAAUAUUCCUGCUAAUUGCAGGUACAUAAUAACAGUUCUCUAACUGAAUUAUUAAACCAAUAGGUAAAGUCAAUACGUAAGUUCCUAGGCUAAAGCAGCAACCUUUGCUCCAUUGCCAACUCGUAGGUCAACUUCACCUUUUGCCAAAUCUCUACUCCUUUUUAGCCCUGCACAUUGGUACAAAUGUGAGAACCGCAUCCAGUAUUUAAUACCCAUGAUGCAAAAGUAGAUAAUUUAAUUUCAAUAACAAAAAUACCUGAAGUUGAAGUCUCUACUCCAUUCUUCUUAUCUUCCAAGUACUUUGGGCAGUUUCUCUUCAGUGUCUGUUCUUACCGCAAUGGAAGCAGGUGCCUUCCUUUGUUAUGCCUCCACUAGGCUUCAAAGCAGGAGCAGUGGGUUUGUGUUUGGCAACUUCCUUGCCUUUCCCUUUAUCACCUUGCUUGGUGGGUCUUUUGUUCUGUCUCUUUCCAUUUCCGAUCAUCAGAAUGGACUUCCCUUUUGACUUCAAGAUUCUGCUCAGCAGUUCUUAACAUGGCUAGCAGUUCAGGAAUAUAUUUGUCCAUAUCAUUCAUAUUGAAAUUAAGGACAAAUUGACUGAAUCUAUCUGGCAACAAUUGCAGAUCAAAUCAGUCGCAAGUUCCUUUCUGAGGGGAAAACCCAACCUCUCAAGGUUCUCCACAUACCCAAUCAUUGAGCACAUGGGGACCUAUAGGGGCUCCCUCAGCUAACUUGCCUUGAAAAAGGGCUUUUGAAACUUCAAACCUUUCAUGUCUUGCCUGCUCUUGAUAGAGCAUCUACAGGUGUUCAAUCAUAUCGAACGCUGCCAUGUUCUCAUGUUGCUUUUGCAACUCUAAGUUCAUGGUAGCUAGCAUGAGGCAAGAAAUUUCAUUGGCAUCAUCGGCAUGCUUCUUAUAAGCAUAUCUUUCUUCCUUAGGCGAAGAACUAGGAGGUUCCUCUUCAGGAACAGGUUUCUCCAAGACAUACAGCUUUCUAUCAUGUUUGAGGACAAUCCUCAGAUUUCGGUGCCAAUCCAAAAAAAUUGUCCCAGACAAUUUUUCCUUAUCAAGGAUUGAUCGCAAAAUGUUGUUAGAGGUGUUUGUUGUCAUGGUAAUCUACAUGAAAAUAAUAAAAAUAUAAGUAUCAAUAACAUAUUUAAUUAGGCCUAUCUCUCUCCANNNNNNNNNNNNNNNNNNNCGAUCUUCCAAACUCCUUUUGGGGACAUGCACUAUUGACAACAACUUACACACUUAACCGUGUUCCAUCCAAAAAGGUUGAGAAGACACCAUAUGAGAUAUGGAGUGGUAAGAAACCACAUAUGUCUUACAUGUAGAUUUGGGGUUACGAAGUUUAUGUGAAACGACAAAUUUCAACUAAGCUUGAGCCCAAAUAUGACAAAUGCUUAUUUGUGGGGUAUCCUAAAGAAACAAGAGGGUAUUACUUAUACAAUCCUUCUGAGGGUAAAGUGCUUGUCGCUCGAACUGGAGUUUUCCUAGAAAAGGAUUUUAUUUCCAAAGUAAUCAGUGAGAGGAAAGUAGAGCUUGAAGAAAUUCAAGAAUCACAAAGCAUUGAUACACCUAUGAAGGAAUUAGAGUAGGAAACACAAGUAGUUCUAGAAGAGCAACCUUCUCAAGUAGAACAAGACCAACGUAGGCCAAGCAGGAUAUGUCACCUACCUGAGAGAUAUGGAUAUCUCAUAACUGAUCAAGGUAAUGUGUUACUCAUGGAUCAAGAUGAGCCUGUGACCUACCAAGAGGCCAUAAUUGGUCCCGAGUCUGAGAAGUGGUUAGAAGCCAUGAAAUUUGAAAUAGAUUCCAUGUACACAAACCAGGUUUGGACCUUGGUAGAUCCUCCUGUAGGAGUUAACCCUAUAGGAUGCAAGUGGGUCUUCAAAAAGAAGACUGACAUGGAUGGUAAGGUACAUACCUAUAAGGCAAGACUAGCUGUAAAAGGAUAUAAACAAAUUCAUGAGGUUGACUAUGAUGAAACCUUUUCACCAGUUGCAAUGCCUAAAUCUGUUCGGAUUUUACUUGCUAUCGUUGCAUAUCAUGAUUAUGAAAUAUGGCAGAUGGAUGUCAAAAUUUCUUUCCUUAAUGGGAAUCUUCUUGAGGAUGUGUACAUGACACAACCUGAAGGAUUUGACAUAGCAGAAGAAGCCCAAAAGAUAUGUAAGUUACAAAGAUCAAUCUAUGGAUUGAAGCAAGCUUCCAGAAGAUGGAAUCUUCGUUUUGAUGAAAUAGUAAAACAAUAUGGAUUCAUAAAGAAUGAAGAUAAGCCUUGUGUCUACAAGAAGGUUAGUGGAAGCAUGAUCGUCUUCCUGGUAUUAUAUGUAGAUGACAUAUUACUCAUUGGAAACGAUGUCCCUACCCUGCAACAAGUAAAGUCUUGAUUGGGGAAAUGCUUUUCUAUGAAGGACCUAGGUGAAGCGGCCUAUAUAUAUUAGGAAUCAGGAUCUAUAGAGAUAAAUCACAAAAACUGCUUGGCCUAAGUCAGAGUACAUACAUAGACAAAGUGUUGAGACGCUUUAAUAUGCAUGAUUCCAAGAAAGGAUUCACACCUAUGCAACAUGGCCCGUGUCUAUCAAAACCACAAUCCCCUUCAACUAAGGAAGAAAGGGAUCACAUGAAUAAGAUUCCAUAUGCAUCUGCAAUAAGAUCUAUCAUGUAUGCCAUGUUAUGUACUCGACCAGAUGUCUUGUAUGCUUUAAGUGCAACGACUAUGUACCAAUUUGAUCCCGGUGAUGCUCAUUGGGUAGUUGUCAAGAAUAUCCUUAAGUAUUUGAGAAGGACUAAGGACUCAUGCUUGAUAUAUGGAGGUCAAGAAGAGCUUGCUAUAAUUGGACACACCGAUGCUAGCUUCCAAACAAAUAAGGAUGAAUUUAGAUCGCAAUCUGGUUAUCUGUUUUGCUUAAAUGGUGGCGCUGUGAGUUGGAAAAGUUCAAAGCAAGAUACAGUUGCUGAUUCUACAAUUGAGACCGAGUAUAUUGCUGCCUCAAGUGCAACAAAGGAGGCUGUUUGGAUCAAAAAGUUCAUUAGUGAACUUGGCAUAGUUCCUAGCAUUGUAGAUCCCAUUGAUCUCUAUUGUGAUAAUAAAGGUGCUAUCGCACAAGCUAAGGAGUCUAGAUCUCACCAACGAUCCAAACACAUACUUAGGCAUUAUCAUCUCAUUCGAGAGAUAAUAAAUAGAGGAGGUGUGAAAAUAUGUAGAGUACCUACACUUGACAAUAUUGUUGACCUACUGACAAAGCCUCUUGCACAGCAGAAGCAUGAUGGCCAUACUAGAUCUAUGGGCAUUAGGGGCAUGCCUGAUUGGCUCUAAUGCUAGUGGGAGAUUACUGGUGUAAGUCCUAGAGGCAAAUACUUUUGGUACUUAUAUCAAAUUAUUUAUUAAUAAUAAAAGGCUUUUUUAUUUAUUAUGUUUGUUUAAUAAAGUCCCUAGAAUAGCUAAUCCGUUUAAUGUAUCAAGUGUGACUUAAUCAUGAAAUCCCAUUAAACAUACAAACACUAUUCUUAAAGUAUCUGUAGUCGAGCUUUGUUUUAAAGUGAGAUAACAUUAAAGCAUUAAGACUAUUAUGUAUAUAGACCGAUGAUCACAUCUCAUGGAUCAUGGAUAAGGAGUUAUCAAGUCUUAAACAUAGGUAUGAAUAUUAAGAGUAAUAUUUAUACUGGAUUGACCCGCUAUGAGAAUACUAUAUAGAAUGUUAUGCAAAGUGUCAUAAGUUAUUCUCAUGGUGAUAGUGGUGUAUACCACCCUUCGACCUGAAACCACUAUGGAUCCUAGAUGUAGAGUCGAGUGCCUUAUUGUUGAUCAAACGUUGUCCGUAACUGGAUGACCAUAAAGAUAGUUGAUGGGUACUCCACGAAGCAUGCUAAGGGACAUGAGUGACCUAAAUAGAAUUUUCCCAUCCUGUGUAAUAGGAUAAAUGUCUAAGGGCUCAAUAUUGAACUGGACAAGGAUGACACAGUCUAUGCCUUAUGUUCAAUAUAGACAUAAGGGCAAAAGGGUAAUUGUACACAUAAGUAUUAUCACAAAAGGAUUUGUCAUAUCACAUGACAUUUUCGUGUUUUGGGUAGUAGUGAUGUGUUGCUAGAUACCGCUCAUUGUUUAUUAUGUUAAAUAUGUGAUUUAAUAUAAUUACCAAUGUCGCGAGAACCUACAGGGUCACACACAAAAGGACGGAUUGAUGAGAGAUAAAGUAAAUAAGGAGCACCGUAAGGUACGAUGCACUUAAGUGAAUUGUAGAACAUCGUAAGGUACGACGCACUUAAGUAGAAUACGAAAUAUGGUAAGGUACCAUGUGCUUAAGUGAUUUUGGUAUAUCAUAAGAUAUGGGCCACAUACACUUAAAUGGACUUUUUAGCUUACAACCCAGACAAGUGGUUCUAUAAAUAGAACCCUUGUGCAGAAGCAUUUGAGUAUAUGAAAUUUCAUUUCUCCCUCUCUCUCUCUCUCUCUCACACACACACACACACACACACACACACAUUCAAAGCCUUUAUUCGUAGCAACUAGCACUGAGAUUGAAGGAAUCCGUUCGUGUGGACUGAGUAGAGGCAUUGUCACCAUUCAACGUUCGUGAUCACUCCUUAUAUCUUCAUCAAAGGUUUCAAUCGCCACAAGAGGUAACGAUUCUAUCAAUGAUCAUGCCCAUUCGUAAGAAUCACUAAAGGAGAAAUUUUUAAUUUCCGCUGCAUUUUGGAUCGCUAUUCCCCUUCAUCAAGGACCAGUGGUACUUGGACUCAGGAUACUCAUCACACAUGUCUGGAAGAAAAGAUUGGUUUGUCAAGAUAAAGCCCUCAAUGAAGAACAUGGUGAAAUUUGCAAAUGACAACACUCUAGCAGCUGAAGGUGUUGGUGAUGUUCUGAUUAUGAGGAAAGAUGGCAAGAGGUCAGUAAUUUCAAAUGUUUUGUACAUACUAGGCAUAAAGAGUAAUUUUCUCAGCAUAGGGAAGUUGGUCGAAAAGAACUACAAGGUAUCGAUCAAAGACAAGAUGAUGAGAGUUCUCAACUCAAAUGGAAGGUUGAUCUUGAAUGCUCCAAUGUCUCAGAACAGAACCUUCAAGAUUGAGCUUAAUGUGAUGGAGCAUAAGUGUCUUGCAACAGCAUCCAAUAGAGAUGAAUAGAUAUCAAAUUAUAUACUUGGCCAUCUCAAUUUCAAAGACAUAAGAGAUUUGAAGAGAAGAAAUAUGGUUUCAGGAUUACCAGAAAUCGCCAUUCCAAACGAAGUGUGUGAAGAAUGUGUGCAGGCAAAGCAGCGUAACAACAACUUCAGUAAGGAUACAGGAAGCAAGUCGAAGACAAUUCUUGAAGUCAUAUACUCUGAUGUAUGUGGUCCUCUCUAGGUGGAUUCGAUUGGAGGUAAAAAAUAGUUUGUUAUAUUCAUAGAUGAUUUCAAUCAAAAACUGUGGUCUUACCAGAUCAAGAAGAAAAGUGAAGUGAUAGAGGUAUUUGCCAAGUUUAAAUCUAUGGUCGAAAGACAGAGCGUUCGAAAGAUCAAGAUUUUGAGGAUUAAUGGUGGUGGAGAAUAUGUGUCGAAAGAUUUCGAUGCAUUAUGUGUGAAAGAAGGGAUUGUGCAUGAGGUGGUGCCACCCUACACUCCACAACAGAAUGGAGUCGCAGAAAGGAAGAACAAAACCAUCAUGAAUAUGGUUAGAAGUAUGUUGAAAGGCAAGCAUCUACCCAAAUAAUUAUGGGGAGAAACUGUGUCGACUGCGACAUAUAUCCUGAACAGAUGUCCGACUAAGAAGCUAGAAGGAAUCACGCCAGAAGAAUGUUGGUCUGGUGUCAAGCCUAGCUUGAGUCAUCUCAGGGUGUCUGGAUCUAUAGCACCUAGACAUGUGCCAGAUCAGUUGAGAAGAAAACUUGAUGACAAGUUGAGUCAGAUGAUUCUGACAGGAUAUCAUUCGACUGAAGGAUACAAGUUGUUCGACCUAGUGAAUAAGCAAGUGGUGAUCAACAGGGACGCGAUCAUAGAUGAGCUUAAGGAGUGGGAUUGGGCUGAGAAUCUCAAGAAAGAUUCAGUGAGAAUCUUUUGUGACGAACCAGCUAGUGAAGUCAAAAGAGAAGUUUGACAGGAAGAAGUCAGAGGUGAAGCAAGCACAAGCAGACCUUAGAGAACAAGACACAUACCUGCAAGGUUGCAAGAAUGUGUGAUUACAUAAGAUGAUGUGGUAAAUGAAGAAGGUGAGAUGGUACAUUAUGCUUUCUACGCAGAUGUCGAAUCUGUCAAUGCAGCUGAGGCAUUGAAAGAUUCAAAGUGGAUGAAAGCAAUGGACGAAGAGCUGAAGUCAGUCGAAGUCAACAACACUUGGUCACUUGUCGAAUUGCCCAAAAACAAGAAGGCAAUCAAUGUGAAGUGGGUAUACAAGGUGAAGUUGAAUCCCAAAGGAGAAGUGACUCGACACAAGGAGAGACUUGUGGCGAAAGGAUUUCUUCAGAAUGAAGGAAUCGACUUCGACAAGGUUUUUGCACCUAUUGCUAGGAUCGAAAUAACCAGGUUGGUUGUUGGUCUAGCAAGCAUGAACAACUGGCAGAUGUGCCAGAUGGAUGUGAUAUGUGAAUUUCUUAAUGGCCCAUUAGAAGAAGAAGUUUAUGUUGCACAACCAGCUGGGUUUGUAAAACAAGGCGAAGUAAGAAAAUUGUACAGGCUGCAUAAAGCCCUGUACGGACUUAAACAAUCUCCAAGAGCUUAGAACAAGAAGAUAGAUGGAUUUCUAAGGGAGAAGGAAUUUGUAAAGUGCAAAUCUGAACAUGGAGUAUAUGUAAGAAGAAGCAAGAGUGAAUUGCUUAUACUAUGUCUCUAUGUCGAUGACCUGUUGAUAACAGGUAGUUGCAAGAAGGAGAUCAAAGACUUCAAAGGUGAUCUUAACAAGGAAUUUGAAAUGUCAGAUCUGGGUGACAUUUCAUACUUCCUUGGCAUCGAAUUCUACAAGAGUGGUAGAGGUUUGAUGAUGCCUCAAAGAAGGUAUGCAGGAGAAAUUCUCAAGAGAUUUGAGAUGUAAGAUUGCAACCCAACUUCGACUCCGACUGAGCCCAGAUUACAACUGUCGAAAGAUUCAGAUUCAGAUGAUGUCGACCCAACCCAAUACAGAAGACUUAUUGGGUCACUUUGAUACCUUUGUCACACAAGGCCUGACUUAGCAUACAGUGUAGGUAUGGUGAGUAGAUUCAUGUAGAAGCCAAAUGUAUCACAUCUAGCAGCGGCGAAGAGGAUACUAAGGUAUCUGAAAGGAACUCUCGACUAUGGAAUUUUGUUUCCUGCAGCUGAUGAAGGAAAAGAAUGCAAAUUAGGGGGAUACACUGACUAAAGUUGGUGUAGUGAUGCUGAGGAUCAAAAAUCCACCGCAGGCUAUGUGUUUAUGCUAGGUGGUGCACUAGUUGCUUGGAGUUUGAGAAAAGAGCCAGUAGUGGCAUUAUCAUCGUGCGAAGAAGAAUACAUAGUUGCUUCUCUUUGUGCAUGUCAAGUAACAUGGAUAGUGAAUCUGAUCGAAGAGAUAACAACGAAGAGUCAUGGAGAAAUUAUCAUGAGGAUCGAAAGCAUGUCAACUAUCAAUCUGGCGAAGAAUCCAAUAACAUAUGGUCAAAGCAAGCACAUCAAAAUAAGAUUCCAUUAUCUUCGAGAGCAGGUAGAAGAUGGGAAGAUGAAUGUGGAAUACUACAGAAUUGAGAAUCAGAUUGCAGACAUCAUGAUGAAGGGAGUGCAGGUCGAAGUGUUCAGAAGAGUAAGAGCUAUGAUGAAUAUAAAUAGCUUAGACACAGUGAGUUAGGUUGUAUGUUGAAUUGUAAUUCCUUGUGUCGAAGCAGGUUACUCGAUAGAACAAGGAAGUGUCGAACCACCUAGUAUGUUAAGUUGUGUUAGUGUAUCGAAGUGUCGAAGCAUGUUACCUCACAAAGGAUUUCGACUUAUGCCUAUUUUAGUAGUGUUAGCUAUUUUGGGCUUUUAUAGUUUUGGGCUUUGGCUCGAGGUCUAAGUUAACCUAAAUCUAUAAAUAGAGGGAGUAACCCUUAUUCUUGUAAUGAAGUGAAUAUAGUACUCAUAAUAUUGUAUUCACAUUAUUUUGCAGUUGCAAAGUGAAUAAGAAGUUUUCCACAGUUUGUGGGCAGAGAGAAACUUUGCAGAAUUUAAUUCUUCUUCUCCUUCAGCGUUCUUUACACUCUUUCUUUCUCCAUUAUUCUUCUCUUUCCAUUGCUUGUGUGGGUAAUAACAAUCUUUUUCAUCAAAAUUGAUUGAAAUUCUCCAUAGAUUUUGGGGGAUUUCCAACAGAAUUCGCCUCAAUAAGACAACUCUUGGAAAAAUUAAGCCAUAAUCCUAAGGCUAGCUUAAACAUAUGGAGAAUAGCCUUGAUGGAGAAAAAAUACUCAUGAAAGGCAUCCGCUAUAAUAAUGGUGUCGUGAGGAGCGCGAACAGAGACCAAUGAAAAGCUAUUGGUCUACAUCCCUAGAGAACCACCCACUAAGACCUUCGAUUACUAGGAGGAAAAGGAAAGGAGCCAGUGGAUCACCUUGCUUCAACCCCCUUUUAAAUGCUAAUUUUUUAGGUCGACAACCAUUAACCAAGACCGCAAGAUUUCCAGAGAAAACACAAACACAGAUACAACCCCUCAAUUUAUCAUUAUAACCAAAAUGAGAGAGCACAUAAUCCAAAAAAGACCAACUAACCAAAUUGUAUGCUUUCUCGAAAUCCACUUUAAAGAUUAAACAUGACUUUUUACUCUUCUUAAUUAAAUUCACCAACUCACUCAUAACAACAACCCCCAUCAACUAGAAACCUACCCUUAAGGAAGGUUGAUUGAUUAAAAGAAAUAAGCUUGUCCAUAACACUAGAAAACCUCUCCACCAAAACUUUACCUAUGAGCUUAUAAAAUGAUCCAACGAAGGAAAUAGGCCGAAAGUAUCCUAUCUGAGAAUGAGAAUCAAUUUUAGGGGUCAAAGUCGCAAAGAAAGAAGAAAAACCAUGUCGAAGAGAGAAAAACUUAAGAAAUUGCUCAAAUAUAAUCUUAAUUUCACCUAAAAGAAAGAGCCAAAAUCUUCUAAAAAGAGGAGAAAUUGAAUUCAUCGGAAUUAAGACAUUUCUUCUCAUCGCAUAAAUCAACCGUCCAAUCAAUAUAAAAAAAGAGGAAAGAGAUAGUAAAACUAAUACAUUCCUCUUUCGAGAUAAAUGAUUAAAAAAACUUAUUCAGCCUAAAUCGGUCAAUAAAAAAAAGAUGAAAUAGUUAAUUAAAUAAAAAAGCACCGCAUGUCUCUCUGCAUGUUUUCGGUGCAGAGAAUAGAAUUUGUAUUCUAUUACUAUAUAUUUUCUUAUAUAUUUUCUUGUCAUUGCAGUUUUUGCUCUUGUGAUCUUGCAGGAGUUAAUUCUGCCUGUCGGAUUCCACUAGCAUCGUCUUUGUACGUAACUGGUGGAUAUGCAUGAUGCCGGGUCGUUUCAUUUGUUAAAUUCCUCUACACUCACUUUCUUUAAUAAAUUUGACUACUCAAUUAGCCUUACUAAUUUUAAUAGUCAAGUGGGAUUCCAACCACUUACAAAUUAAAUCCCUAACGUAAAGUUGAUUUGGUUUAUGAAUUAAAUAACUAUUUUACUAAAAUAAACCCAUUAAUUAAUAGUCAACUCUUAGUAGAUCAAUUAUCUGAUCUGACACCAAAUUACUGGUUUAAUAUUAUAUAUAUAACCAUUGCUAAACUGUAAAAUAGAAGACUUCUAUGUACUAUAUCUUGAAUUGGUCUAAUGAGUAUUAGUCUUAGUAGUGUUAGUGUAUAUGUAUUACAUUUGCAAAUGAUGAAGUGUUAAUUACUUACUACCAAACAAAUGAUUUAUUAUUUAAAAAAAUUAAACAAUCGUCAUCAUCUUUACACAAACAAAAAAAACUGUCAAUCACAUAUGCGCAUGUGUUGUAUUGAUGUAUUAUAAUCAAAAUUUUACAAUAGGAUUCAUAUAAAAAAAAUCCGCAACAAAACGGUAUCGAAAAAUAUCAAUAAUAAUAUUGUGUUUUUAUGUUAAAAAGAACUUGCUCUAACUUUAAACUGGGUGCAAAAGGCUUUAUUCGUUUCGAAUGCGACGACCCGAUAAUUUAAAACCUUCUUUAUAAUCAAUUUUCUCUUAAAGAAUGUACCAUAAGGUUAACGAGCAAGUACUUAAUCAAACUUAACUAAUCAAGUUGGUGUGUGCACGAUUAAACAAAAUAUAGAAUGACAGAUCUUUUAUAGAAAAAAAUAAAAUAUACCAUAACCGUGCAUGCAACACCUAGCCUAUAAAUUAGUUUUCACACUUCUAAUUAUGAGCCUCCCUCUACUCACUAAGAUUCACACAUAAGUUUUUCAGCCAUAAGAACCUUAGAACUAGAUAAAUCCAUUGACCAAAAACAGGGUUCCAAAAUGGCUGGAGGGGGGUUCGCCGUCGAUACACCGGUUACCGCCAUCAACGUUGGUGGCAAGUUAACACUCUCCAUCAUCAUUACCUGCAUAGUUGCUGCCUCCGGUGGCCUUCUUUUCGGCUAUGAUAUCGGAGUUUCAGGUUUGUUUAUUUCUAUUCCAGUAACUAGUUCUGUAAAUGACUGAUGAAUUGCGUUAACCGUCGAAAUUGUUGUCGGAAUUUAUCUAGGAGGCGUGACGACGAUGGUGCCGUUUCUUCAAAAAUUCUUUCCUGAAAUUCUAAGAAAGGCAGCUGGAACAGAAGUGAACAUGUAUUGUGUGUAUGACAGUCAAGUGCUGACAUUAUUUACGUCUUCUUUGUAUCUAGCUGGAUUAGUUUCAUCGCUUGCAGCUAGCAAAGUUACGACGAUGUAUGGUCGGAGAAACGUCAUCAUAUUGGGUGGUUGUGUUUUUCUUGCCGGUGGUGCCAUUAAUGGAGGUUCUGAAAAUAUUCCUAUGCUUAUAUUGGGUCGUAUUUUUCUUGGGUUAGGGGUUGGUUUCACUAAUCAAGUAAGUCACUGGAUUUUUUUUUAAUUAUGAUAUAAUUAGUUUGUACAAUUAAUUUUUAUUGAUGUUUAUUUAGUCUUUAAUUUUGUUAUUUUAAUGAAAUACUGGUAUUUCAUUUUCACUUUUGAUAUUCAAAAUUAUUAGUAAAUUGGAGACUAAAUAUGAGUAAAUAUUUUGUAAAGACACAAUUAAAUAUUAUAGGUGCUAAUAUAUAUGACCCAAUUUAUCGGUAGAUUUUCUCAUAUUUUGAAAAAAAAUUAAUAAAAUAUUAUAUUUAUUAUUUAGUUUUUAUUAUAAAAUUUUACUUAAAUAAAAAUAGUAAGAAUUAAUCUUUAUACUAUUUUUUAAUGAUCUAUAUUGAAUUGACAAAAUAUUUAUUAUUAGACGAAUUGAAUCUAUAUAUAGGAGUGAGAUUAUGGUCCAAUCUACUUAUGACUCAUUAUCAUGAAUUUAAUAAAUUUAUUUAUUUUAAAAUUUGAUAUAUUUAAAUUUUCUAAAAAGAUGGUUGACUUCCCCUUUGUUUAUACAACUCACAAUUGCAAAUUAUUACCCCUUUAACCAUUCUGUAUAUGCUAGGUCAGACUAAAUUGGCAACAGACAAAAAGGUAAUAUAUAACAUUUCAAAUAUAUAUAUUGUUGAAAAUGAAAUUAUAUUGAUAAUUUCUAUAAAAUUAUAUAUUUACUCAUCCGAAAAACUAUCACAUAAAUCACGUUACCCCUUGAAAUAUGUCUCAGCAUUUAAUACACGAAAUAAUUAAACUAUAUUACUCCCCAAAACAAAACAAAAAAAGUCAAAUAAGAAAAAUACUACUCUAAAUGACAACUCAUUAAGUGCAUUCACUUUGAUUGAAUAUAUAUAGGUGAGAUUCAAGUUUUUUUAGUAGAUGAAAAUAAAGGAAUGCCAACAUCCCAUUAAAUUCAUCUACUUUUUUUUUUAAAUAUAGGUGAGUUUCUUGUUGACAUAAAUAUAGGAAAUUCACCAAUUAAUACAUUUAAACUUGUCAAUAUUUCUUAAAAAUUUCAAUUAUUAUUAUUAUCUAUCUUCUGACAAUUACAUAUUUCUAUUGAAAAAGGCUGCACCACUCUAUCUAUCAGAAAUCGCUCCUCCAAAGUGGCGAGGCGCUUUCAGCACAGGCUUUCAAUUCUUCUUAGGAGUAGGUGUCGUCGCCGCCGGCUGCAUAAACUUCGCCACCGCCAAACACACAUGGGGAUGGAGACUAUCUCUCGGUCUCGCAGUCGUCCCUGCAGCCGUCAUGACAAUCGGCGCCUUCCUCAUAACGGACACACCCAGCAGCUUGGUCGAGCGUGGCAAGAUAGACCAAGCCAGAAAAUCCUUACACAAAAUCAGAGGAUCCUCGGUCGAUAUCGAACCUGAGUUAGACGAACUUAUUAAGUGGAAUGAGAUCGCUAAAUCAGUAAAACAAGAGCCGUUCAAAACCAUAUUAAAAAGAGAGUAUCGACCUCAUUUGGUCAUGGCAUUCGCAAUCCCGUUUUUUCAACAAGUUACAGGGAUUAACAUUGUUGCUUUCUAUGCACCUAACCUCUUUCAAUCUGUUGGUUUGGGACAUGAUACUGCUUUACUUUCUGCCAUUAUACUCGGUACUGUUAAUCUUGCUUCUAUCCUUGUCUCUACCGGUAUCGUUGAUCGAUUCGGACGAAGAUUCUUGUUCAUAACAGGUGGUAUUAUGAUGUUUGUUUGCUUGGUAAGUAAAAUAUAUUAAGACAUAAGAACCUAAUUAUCUAUUUUUAUGUCUAAUACUAAUUGAAUACUUUGUGUGAACAUUGUGAAGAUGGCGGUGUCCAUUGUGCUGGCAGUGGUGACUGGUGUUCAUGGUACAAAGGAGAUAUCAAAGGGAAACUCAAUAUUGGUAUUGGUGCUAUUGUGUUUCUACACUGCUGGUUUUGGUUGGUCAUGGGGUCCUCUAUCAUGGCUAAUUCCGAGUGAGAUUUUUCCAAUAAAUAUAAGAAGCACUGGACAAAGCAUAGCUGUUGCUGUGCAAUUCGUAAUAGUAUUUGUGUUAUCGCAAACAUUCUUGACUAUGUUAUGUCACUUUAAAUUUGCAGCCUUUUUGUUCUAUGGGGGUUGGGUUGUUCUGAUGACGUUUUUUAUUAUAUUUUUCUUGCCUGAGACUAAGGGAAUUCCUUUGGAGUCUAUGUAUACUAUAUGGGGCAAACACUGGUUUUGGUCUCGCUUUGUUAAAAGAGAAGAUGGCCAAGAAAAUCAUCCAUGAAGUUUGUGUACAAAAUGAUGGAAAGAUAUUGAUGUUUAAUCUGUGCACAUGUGAAAGGAGAAUUCAUUUUGAAAGAGUAUUUGCUCAUAGUUAUUAGUGAUAUAGUAUUUUUUUUUUGUUUAAAGUCAAUGUAAAUGUAUCAUAUUGUUAAGUGAAUUGGUAUUGACUUUUAAAAAAUUAAUCAAUAAAUUGAAAUUACUUAAUGGCCUGAAAGAGAAUGUAGGAUUAGUUUGUUUGUGUAGUGCAUAAAAUAGUGAUAACUUUUAUGUGAUUUUCAUUUUGGAAAGAAAAAACUCAGGCAAUAUAUGAAUAUCAUUAAUCACUAAUAAUAAAGUUGUUAACUACUUUAUAAUUUUUUUUAUAAAUGGAACCUAACUACUCUGAUUUUGCACUGUAAUGGUUAUUUUGAAAGAUAUGGAAAAUUAUUUGUUUAAGAGUAAUGGAAAUGAAAAUGAACAUUGAAGAUGAUGAAAUCAUGAUCACUCACUUCGUAUGGAAUCUUGGGUAUUGUUUGUUAAUUAUAUACACACACACGCGAUGGACAGUGUUUUUAAUUUUUUUUAUGAUGAAAGUGUUUUUAUUUUUUAAUAAAUAAAAAGAUAAUAUUUACAAUUAAUAAAAAAUUAAUUCUUUUAUAAUAUAAAUAUAAAAUUAUUCAUUAACCAAUUUUAUUAUUGUAUUAACUACAAAAAUAUAGGUUAUUAACAACAUAUUUUACUUAUAAUUCAUUAAUCAAAUUUACUAUUAUAUUAACCAAUAAAAUAUAUAAUAUUAAUCAAAUUCAGACAUUAAAAUAUGAAAUAUAGAAUUUGGUUAAAAUUUUUUUAUUAUAUUUUAUAUUUUAAAUAAUAUUAUGUAUUUUAUUGGGUAAUGAAGUAGUAAAUUUGAUUAAUGAAUUAUAAGUAAAAUAUGUGGUUAAUAACCUAUAUUUUUUUGGUUAAUAUAAUAAUAAAAUUGGUUAAUAAUAAACUUUAUAUUUGUGUUAUAAAAGUGACUUUAAAAUUAAAAAUAUUUUUUUAUAAAUAUUAUUUUUAGUCAUAAUUUCAUAUCACCUUAAUAUCUCCCCCACAAGUUCAUAGUUGGAUUAAGGAGACAAUUUUGAUCUUAGAUUUGUAAUCAUGAAAAAGGUAAGUGAUAAAGGUAUGGUAAGCACAUUUGACACUUCCAACGUUCUAGGGAUAUGUUGGUUUAUAAGUUUGUUUGCAACCACCCUCUCACAUACGAAAUGGAUGUAAUGUUCAAUAUGUUUUGUUCUUGUAUAGAGCACUGGAUUAUGGAAAACCAUGAUUGCAUUUAUAUUAACACACAUCAGCGUUGGUGUUUGAAGCUCCACACAUAGUUCUUCAAGGAAAGGUUCUAUCCACAAUAACUCAGGUGUGGUGUCCGCAAGAGUUUUAUACUCAGCUUAUCUACUUGAGCGUGCAACCAACAAUUGUUUCUUAGAACACCAUGAUAUGAGAUUGGGGCCAAGGUAUACACAUGAGUCGGAUGUUGAGCGCCAAUCAUCAGGGUCACUUGUCCAAUCAGUCGUUAUAGGCUUUGAGAAACAUAUUUUGCACGGAGUCAGUUAGACAUAUGACGAAACCAUGAUUUGCAAUACCACUACGAUAACGAAGAAUACGCUUAACUAAACUUCAAUGUGACUCAAGUGGUUGGGUCAUAAAUUCACAUGCCUUAUUGACACUGAAGGUUAUGUCGGGUCUUGUUAAAGUUGUGGAUCUAUGUGAUUGUAGGUGUGAAGCUGAAAAUCAUGCAGAAGAUCCAUCCAAAGCUUUGAUGACAACAACGAUGAUUAAAUUCGGUGGCAACAACUUUCAACCUUAAUGAUGGUGAUUUAACCAGGAAACAUAUCAUGUAUAAUAAAUAAAAGUAGACUCAAGAUUAAAGUGUUUAUAUGAUCAAAAGCAAUCUAGCAAAGGAUCAUGAAGCCUUAGAUAAAGUGUGAAAUAUGAUCAGAAGAAAUCUAACAAAGAAUCUUGAAGCCUCAGAUAAAGUGUAUUGAAUGACCUAAGUGUUGUAAAAGUAAGAAAGUAACUUAGAAGUAUUAUUUUAGCUGUCAUACUCCAAAAUUUUGUCUUACUUCUUUCGACUUUUUCAUCUGGCUCUUGGUGUAACGCCUCAGAUAGCUUUCAAGGUUAUCAACUGAUCCCACAAACCAACAUGGUUCUUUUCAACAUAUUUUGUACUCACUCACACGCUAUCCGAGAAACUUCCUAGAAGGUCACCCAUCCAAAUACUACUCCAAGUCAAACACGCUUAACUAUGAAGUUCUUAUAUGUUAGGCUACCGAAAAAAUAUGCAUCUUAUUGGUAUAGGUAGUACCAAUUAAUCCUUAAUAGCCUUCCUUCAACCAUGCAGUCUCAUACCUACAUAGCCUCAGGAUCCCUCUUAUUCUGAUGUGAAUUCGGUUUUUACCUAGAAGCUUUUAGGAGCGUCUUAUUAUCAUGCCCCGUGCACCGACAACCACUCCCUCGCCCUCGGGUGUUACAUGUAACCACUCCCCGCCUUCUUCGGCCUUGAGUGGUACACUUGGUCCAUGGUUCAUCUGCAUACUCAUAGUCAUUUAGGUCAUUCAUUUACAAUUUCAUUUUUUAUAAUGACAUCAUUUGAUUCAAGGGUUCCUUCUUAUUUAUAAGGCAUUGAAUUAUUGGUUUGCCAGCUUAUGUUCAUUAUGCUUCACUUUAAUUUUUGGUUAUGGGCACAACAAAAUUUUGAGUUGAUCAUUUUCUUGGAUUAAGUAUUUUGAGGAACCCUAAUAUUAGUCUGUGACAUUUGGAUCAUGUUGACUACAUCAUGGCAUUGAAUUUGAAGGUCACUUGCAAGUUUGACUUUGGUCAAAGUCAACCAUGAGAGGUUGAUUCUUAUUGACCAAUUUCUUUUAUGGACUCUUUCACAUAUUAGUUCAUUGGUUAUUUGUUUUGCAUUCGAGAUAUAGCAUUGCAAAAACAAGAUUCAAGUUCAAAUAUUCAAAAUUCAAAUUUAGAGGGAAACCACUUUUCUUAAGAAUCAAGUGACAUAGUUCCAUCCAAAGGAUCAUUUUCAUUACGAACCUUCAAAUUAUACAUUACAAAAGAGUCAAGAUCAAAAUUCUAAAUAAAGAGACAUUUUUGACCUAGAGUUAACUUUUGGUCAACCGUUGACUUUCGAUAACAGUUGACCAAAGUCAAACUGACUUCAUCCUCAAGGCAUUCCAUUUUUUGUGCUUCCCAUUUCUCCAAGUGCAUUCCAAAUAUCUCCAUGUCGCCAUGACUUGCUAAAUCUCUCCAUGAUCCAUGUCUUGGUUUCAUGCCAACAUUGAAUAUGCCAUGCCAAGCCAUUGUCCACCCCCACAAAUUCACACCAGCCCUACAAGAUAAGACCUCAACUUGUCAACAACAUGUACACAUAAUAAGGCCUAACCAUGACAACACCAUAAACACACAAUAUGCAAUCAAAUAAAGCAUAACCAUUCAUAACCACAAGUCAACUUGACAUCAUACAUGUAUACAUUAUCAUAAACCAAGACCAACCAUUCAAAGUCUUGAAAAUCAAGCCAUACGCAAACCAAACAUGAACACAAUGCAAUUAUCCAUAUUAACUAAUACCAAUCAACAUAAAUUUGCAUUAACAUAAUCAUAAUCCUAACACUCACAACUGUUAACAUACUAAUCAAAUGUCCCUAACCUCCAAAUUCCAUAACCAUUCAGCAUAGUUUCUAACUAUUUUACAAAUGACUAAUCAAUCAAUUCACCAAUCAUAACCACUAUUUUACUAACAUUCAGUCAUAGCUUUAACUCCAUAGUAAUUCAAUUCAUUAAAACCAAACUAACUCCAAAUUCUAACUAUCUAACUAUCACAUGACCAAAUGUUAAAUUCACAUGAAAAUGCACAUAACCAACAUUAACCUCUUAUUGAUCCUAAUUGUUUCAGUAUUAGCAUCAAAGUAGCAACCAACUCCAUUUCACUAACUGUCAUAAUGUUCUAACUUGUAAAUAUUGAGUGAUAUAAUCUUCCGUUUGUCAAAUCAUUGAUAGAUGGACUUGGAGUUAUAUAACUUUCAUUGUUUCAAAUCUAUUAUUAGAUGAUCAAAGAUCAUCUUCAGUACUUUGCAUCAAUGAUAAGUUAUCCCGUGAUGCACCAUAUUUUGAGUCAUUUGACCUAUGGGUAGAUAAUCCUUAAAUGUAUACUUUGUACAUUAACUAACCACUAACUUUGUUCAUCACUAACUUUAUUUAUCACCAACCGUUUGUUAUUGUGAUCUUGUUAUUAUUAUUACCUUGUGGUUUACUUUUAUGUCAUUGAAUUCUAAUUUACUUUCUUGCACUCAUUAUCAUUGUCAUUGUAUAUACUCCUCACGCAUGUUUAUUAUUGUUAUUUACUUAUUGUCAUCAUACAAUAAAAAAAAAACAAAAACAUGAUAAAAUUAUAAGACCAAAAAUAUGUAUUUCACUUGUAAUCAACUUGGACUUAGAGGAUCUCACUUAGGACCCUUGCUUGGAGACAUUUCCCUUAUCUUUUGACCCUUUGUCUCAACUUUGGAUUUCAUAUGUAACUUACAUACUUGUUGUAAGAAUGUCAUCAUGACACUACCCUAGGGAGACAUGACUGUAAGACCAUUAUCCUUUGUUAGCUUAGGUCACUUUUGCACACAAAAGGCUUUCUCUUAGGCUAACUUACAAUGAGACCCUUUACUUUCUUGCUUCGUUAUAGCACGUCACCAAUUUCAUAAUCAAAGCAAUAAACCUUUGAUCCAACGUCAAACGGCAUUUUCAUAUUCAAAUUCAAAAAAACUAAAAGUAUUAUUAGUAUUGUACGCCACGAGCCUUAAGUGGUGGGGAAUGAGUAAGGAUGGAACUUUCCUACACUUACUCUGAUUAUUCUGGACACAAGACGCUUGACUUUUUUGUCUAGAAUAUUCACAUUCGCCAAUAGACUUUAGUGCAAUCUAAUCACAAACAUCUCUUUUCAUAAACCUUUUUUCAAGGUAAAACCAACAUCAACCCAUCAAACUCAUUUUUGCGCCUUAUGGCUUCGCACCGAAAAUCCUUUUAUGAAAGGUAAAAUCAACCAACACAUAAACAUUUUCUACUAUGAAUUACGGAGCUCUAAUUCUUCAUCACCCGAUGAAUGAUACAUAGGCACAAGGGCCCUAAUCCUUAGCGAGAACAAUAAUAAAAGAGCCAAAUCUCAUUCUUUCACACUCUUUUUAAAAAUAAAGAAAAUUUAUAGAUAAAUACCCAUGCACAUAGACAACUUAAAUGGUUUCCAUGGAGUAUCAUGGACGUGAGGGGUGCUAAUACCUUCCCCUUGCGUAAUCGACUUCCAAAUCCAAUCUUGGUUGUGAGACCGAUUCUUUAUCCUUUUUUAAGGUUUUAUCGACUAUUUUACCUCUUCUCUCCCAUAGAGGAAAUCAAAUAAAAUUAAGUGGUGAAUCUUAUGUUUUGCCUUUUUCUCUCUUCUUUUGAGAGUAGGGGUAUUCUUUUGUUCAAUCCUGGUUUCGUAUUCCAAUUAAAACCUCGGGUGCAACAACCUUUGAGUACCCCGUGAUAUACAAACUUUGUUUAUACCACGACCUUUUGAAUCACCUAUAAACACUUCUUGCACCCCAAACCCUAAUUUGUCUGGUUAUGGCUCUUGAUGAACCUUGUGGUCCAAGAAACCCUAAUUUGUGCAAUCCUUUGAUUCUAUUGUCUUGCCUCAUUUGAUCAUCACAUCAUCCAACAGUCUAUUCACCAUCAACUAAAGUCAUUUUCAACCACAAUUCAUCAAGCUUACACCCAUUUCAUCCAUGGUACAACUCUUUGGUUUGAUCUUGAACUUUGAACUUUUAAUGCAUUGGUUUCACCCAUGGACUUGACCUAAAAUAAUCCCACCAAGCACAAAGCCUUAUUUUCCAUCAAUAUGUGAUCGUAUGAGUUUCAAACAUUCACCAUGGUUCCUUAAAAAUAAAUAAAUCUCAAAAUGGCAUUUCUAGAGCAUGUUGGUUGGUCACAUUUUGGAAAGUUUGGCCUACCAUUUGUUCCAAAGCCCAUAAUGUUUUCACCUUUCAAUAUUUUCAAUAUCUUAUUUGAUCCAAAUGUACUAAUUGAAUACCUCUUAAAAUUUGUUACAAUUUCCAAGACCUAAUUCAUUGAGCAAGGACCUCAAAUUUUGGAUUGGCCAAGUUGGUCAAGAUGCCUAGCCAGACCUAGAAUCAUGCCCAUGACCACCACUUUACCUCAAUGUCAUUUCCAAACCAUAACUCCUUUUGAUAUGGUUCUUUUUGCAAAUUAUUAUGGGCAUGGCAAAGAACAAUUGGCACAAGUUUCAUGUAAAAUGCACGAGCCAAUUUUAUUUGGCCCUAGAUCAAAGUUGGGGUUUCAUCAUGGUGCACCCAACCAAUCAGUUUCAGCCAAAUCAUGCAUAAUCAAGCUCUAAGUCCCCAAAUCACCUUAUUCUGAUCCCAUUUGACCCAAGACAUGUUUCAAAACACCUCAAGACAAGAAUCCAAGUCAACUUGAGUGAACAUAGGUCACAUGGAGUCAAACCCGAGUUGUGUACAAAAAGCAACUUUUUCCCAAAAUGGAGAAAAGAAAAAACCACAUCAGCUUGCUUUGAGGUCCCUUUUUUCACCUAUCAAGAUCAGCCUUAGGAUUUGUAAUGUAGUAACAUGUGAGUUGUGAUUUAAAUCCCUUUCAAUUCUCACUAGCAUAAAUGAUCAACUUUUUCUUCAACUUAUCAUCAUCAGUAAACUCAAAAGUCGACUACGAUACACAUCAAUAAGUUUGUAUUAGUAAUUAUAAAAAAUACUAUUGAAUCAUGUAAAUUAAAAUUAAUACAAUAACGUCUGUCCAUAUGCUUUAUCUUUCACAUUUCAUGGUACUUGGGUCUAAUCAUAUAUCAAAAUAUUCACCAUGCUAUGUCCAAGGAAUACAACAUAACUUCUAAAAAGUGAAGAAUUAUCACCAUAACAUGUCCAAGUUACGACAUUAAGCUCGAUCGAAAAUUUGUUAUUCGAGUUGCGAAUAUUUUUUUUAAUUUAGCCAUUAUCACCUAUUUGUUUUCUUUUCUUUCCUCUAUAGUUUGAGAUUCAUUUGUACGUGUUUCAUUUGUAUGAGUUUGAUUUGUAUGAUUUUUGUCACAAUAUGAAAAGUGCAUCUACGUUAAAAAAAACAACAAAAGAUUAAACCAAUUUUAACAACAACAUACAACAACAAAACAAAUGUGUCUAAUGCAUAUUCAACAAUAACAACAUAAACAACAAUAACAACAUAACAAAUGUGUCUCAUACACAUUCAACAAUAACAACAACAUCAACAUAUAAAUAACAACAAUAUAACAAAUGUGUUUCAUACAUGUUCAACAACAACAACAUAAACAACAACAGUAUGUCUAAUACGCAUUCAUCAACAACAACAUAAACAACCAUAUAACAAAUAUGUCUCAUACACAUUCAACAACAACAACAUAUAAACAACAACAACAUAACAAAUAUGUCUCAUACAUAUUCAAUAACAGACAUGUAAUCAACAACAACAACAAUGCGUAUAAUACACAUUCAAUAACAACAACAACAUAAACAAAAACAACAACAACAACAAAAUAACAAAUGUGUCUCAUACACAUUCAACAACAACAACAUAAACAACAACAACGUAACAAAGUGAUCUCAUACACAUUCAACAACAACAACAUAAACACAAUAACAUACACUAUAAUUUUUUUUCCAUAUACCAAGUAUAAGAUAUAGCAACAAUCAUUAUAAUCAUAGGCAUUAAUCAAUUUAUCCGUUGGAAUAGGUAUCAUGUAGUAUUGACGAUCAUAUACAUUUUUUCAUUAAAAAAUAUUAAAAAGAAAAUUAAUAAAGUAAGAUUAUUUUAAAGAAAUUGUCCCGCCCAAAAAUUUAUUCUCACUCAACCCGUGCGACUCCCUUUCAAUCCUUAAUCAUCAUCGACCCAUUGCAAGAAACACAACUCUUAAUCUCAUAAACUAUUCGCGACACCUCCACAUAAUUUACCUAACUCCUCUGAAUAUUGACCGUCCAUUUGAGUAUCUCAACAAGAGCAACCCUUAAUCCAAAAUAUUUUUAUCUCUAAAAUGAAAAUGCUGUUAGUAUGUUAAGCCCAUUUUUGUUAGACUCUCAAGUAUAGUUGUGAUUUUCUCUCCCCUAUUUGAACUGUGACAGAGAAUCAAAGGUAGUUUCAUCUUCCAUGAUUCCGAUUCGUAGCUUCCUGGUGCCAUUGGUGAAACUUGAUAAAUAUCUUUUUAUUCAUCAUAUUCCUCUUUCGGUUCACUUACAUCCCAAUCCCUAUGAUUUUCUUGUGUCCUCUUUUUCUCAAUAUGAUUAGGGUUUUCUGGCUAAUGUCUUAGUUUCAACUUUGUUUAUAUUCCUAGUUUGAUUGAAUUAAUAAAUGGGUUGUAUUACUUUUAGUUUAGAAAAAGUAAAUAGGAAAAAAAUAAUUGAAGGGAGAUUAUGUUUUUAUGGGAUCUUCUAAUAAAAAAAUCACGGCUAGCAUAUCCGAAACCUAUAACCAAAGAAUUCUUAAGGUAUAUACUAUAUUGAUAAGUCUUUAGUCCCUCAUUCUAUUCAAGUGAUCAAAAGUCCCUUGAUCACUUGGUAAGACUAGUUCCUGUAAUGUUGUGGAUCUCAAGGCCUCAAGUUCAAAUUUCCAGUCAAGGCAUCCCAGACAAAUCAGGCAGUGAACUACUAUGCAAAGCGCAUCAAAGGUGUUUCUUCAAGAUCUUGUCAAUAAAGAUUCAAGUUGUGUGACAUGAGCCUUAAGCAAUAAAGAAGAAAUGGGAGUGGAGAAUUCCUUAACUCAUUCUGAAUAUCUUUGGGUACGGGACAAAUGACCUAGUUUCUCAUCGUAUUCACCUCUAUUCGUAGACUUUAGCACGGUUUGAAUCAAAUGACUGUCAAGUCUCCCUUCACAAGCAACAAUGCAACAAUCAUAAGCCUUUAUUAGCAACUUACCAAUCAUGAUUCAAGAUGUAUGCCAUGAGCCUUAAGUAAAAAAGAAUGAUGAGAGUGGAACACUCAUAUCCUUAUCUAGCGUAUCCUUGGGUACGGGAUGAAUGGCAUAAUAGCUCAAGAUAUUCACCUUUGUUCAUAGGCUUUAGUGCAAUUCAAAUUAAAUGAUUGAAAAAAUCUUCAUCAUCAUAAGAAGCAGCAAAGCAUUCUUCCUCAGAAACUUGAAAGUUAUGAUGAGAAUCACAUGCCAUGAGCUUUAAGUAGUAAAAAAGGAAUGAGAGUGGAGAAUUUCUUAACUCAUUGUGAAUAUCUUUGGGUAUAGGACGAAUGACCCAGUUCUCAUCAUAUUCACCUUUACUCAUAGACUUUAGUGUGGUUCAUAUCCAAUACUGCAAAGUAUUAUGGAUCUUUCAUUAUCAUUUAUCUUGCCUCAUCAAUCUCCUGUUGUCUUUAUUCCAUCAUAGGUCGAACUACGAAGCUCUGACUUUCUCAUUGCACAAUGAGAAUACGUAGGCACAAUUCUUCGAACCCUUGGCGAGCACAAUCAUUUAUUCUUCCCCAUUCACCAACCAAUGUCAUCCUUUUGGAACCAAAUAUUAUAUCCCUUUGGAUUCUAUGCAUAUCCGUUUAUGGAAAUCACAAUGUCCACCUUAUGAACUAAGAUAUGUUUGCCUUGAUGCCAAACACUUAAUUCCUUUAUUUUCUGGCUUGACUCCUAUUUACUCUUUGGUUUAGAGUUUAUUCCUUUAUGGAUUCAAUACACUAUUUUCCUUUGGUUUCAAAUUAAGUACAGUGAUACAUUGUUUCCUUGGACCAAAUAUCAUUUCCCUUUGGGUCCCAUAUUUACCCUUUUAGGAUAAUUGUCCACCUUUGUGCCAAGAGAUGUUUGCAUUGAUGCCAAAAAAUUAAUUCUCUUUGUUUAUUGUCAGACCAUAUACAGUUGUUACAUGCCUUAGGCUCCCCACAUGUUGGUUCAUGCCACCUUUACUAUGUGAUUCAAAGUUUAUUGACCUUUAUGGGUUCCCACGCUACCAUUGUCUUUUGGUGCAAGUUAUACUUUUCAUCACUUCCAAUAUUCUCUUUGUUUUCCUAGUUUCAUGAACUACGGAGCUCUGACUUUUUCAUUGCAUGAUGAGAAUACGAAGGCACAAGGCUUCGAACCCUUGACGAGCAUAAUUAUUAUUUCUUCUUCCCUAGGGCACCAUUCAUAUCUUUCAUGAUCCAUCAUCUAUCUUCAAUCAUGGACAUUCAUCAUAAUGACAUCUUAUCUCUAUUUGGAACCAAAUACCAUAUUUCUUUGGGAUUCCAUAUAUACCCUUUUAGGAUAAUUGUCCACCUUUGUGCCAAGAGUUGUUUGACUUAUUGCCAAACAUUUUAUUCUCUUUGCUUUCGGCCCAACCAUAUAUAGUGGUACUAUGCCUUAUGCCCCUCACAUAUUGGUUCGUGCCACCUGUACUCUUAGGUACAAACAUCAUUUCCUUUAAGGAUUCUAAUAAUACCUUACCUCUAGUUCCAAAUUACACCCUUCAAUCACUUCUACCCAAUCUUUCACUUCAUGUGAUACACUUUUUCUUUGAGCCAAAUACACUAUUUAUUUGAGCUCUAUCCAGUGUCUGCUUGUGAACUGAAAGUUGUUCGACUUAUUUCCAAACACUUAAUUCCUUUUGUUUUCAGCCCCACCAUAUAGUGGCACCAUGCCUUAGGCCUCCCACAUAUGGUUCAUGCCAGUUUUCCUCUUGGGUUCAGAUCCCAUCCUUGUUGGAGUCAAACAAUACAAUCCUUUGGUUCAAACCAUAUUUGUUAUCACUCUUCUUUCAUCUCCCACCAUCAGUUCUAUAAACUACGGAGCUCUGAAUUCCUUGCUGCACUAUAAGGAUAUAUAGGCACGAGGGCCCUAAUCCUCUCCGAGCACUCUAUCUAUUCUUUCUUUUGCCUUAUUCUUUCAUGAGUAACCUUUAGAUAUGACACCCAUCCGAGCAAAGAACAAUCAAAAUGGUUCCCAUUGAGUACAAUGGAUGUCAGGGAUGCUAAUACCUUCCCCUUGCAUAACCGACUUCCUUACCCAUUUCUCUCCCCCAGGGUUUUAUCGAUGUUUUCCCUUUCCUUCGGGAAUAAAUAAAGUUCUAUAGAGACUAUGUUGUAUGUUCGAGCGUGCGACGCGUUCGGGUAUAUUUCUACUAGCUUCACCUAUGUAUUCUUCAUCUUCUCUAUUUUGGGUGGAUUUUGGUGGUCGAGAAAUCCUGAUUUUGGCCUAAUUUUACUUGGGCCAUCCAUUUUUUAGGCGUUUCGACUUGCCUGUUGUUUGAAAUUUGAGGAGUUGGUCUAGCAUGAACUUGAGGUGUAUCGAAAAAUAGGCUAUCUGACCUAUUUCCUUGACCAAUAACUCAUAGGUUUUAUUUGUAUUCAUAAUCAAAUUAUUAAAUAUGGUUCCCAUUUGUUAGGUCAACGUGUUAACCGAUUCUAAGUUAAUUUCAUUCAUUUGUUGCCUCAUGACCAUCAUAGAGGUUGUAUUUAAAGAUGGCGUUAUUUGAGGGAUAUAACUUAUCCCUCCUGGUCAAACCAUAUUGUUCAUGGUCGAAGCAUAAGAAUUAUAUGGAUUAUAUGAUGACCCAAUGUCCAUUGUAUUGUCACUAAAGGUUGACAUGUUAGUGUGAAGGUCAUCCGUCAUCGACGUUGGCAUUCCAUAAGGAUAUUCCCUAUUAUUCAUUGGCAUUGAAAAACCAAAUAAUGGUCUUGCAACUGCAGGGUUCAAUAGGGUAUUUUGUGGCUAUGGGGGUUGUCAUCCCUUGUGACGGUAUUGGUACAAGUGACGCUGACGAUACUGCGGGAGAAGUUGUUCUAGUGAGCGUUGAAAUAACUGUCUCUUCAACUGUCGAUUUGACUGGUUGUUCUGCUACAAUUUGAGGAUUAUUCUAUGAACCGGGAUUAUCCAUAGGAGGAUACAUCAUUUUUGGUAAAGACUUUCCACUUCUUAAAUGCAUACAAACUAAUCAAUAUAAUCCAUGUACACAAAACAAUUUUAUAAGAGAAAACUACGAUAUCUAUAAAAGAUAAAAAAUAAUUUUAGCACAGGUCCCACUGAGUGUGCCAAUUUGUUUACUGUGAAUUUUAGUAAACAAGCAUUGGUAUCUUAUUAAAGGUUAUUUAUAGGAUCAACCAUAUAAUCCUAAGACAUAGUGCUAAAAGCUUUCUUAUGAUUUUGUGUAGAAAGGUGAAGUAUUUCGACUUGGUCGAAAUCUUUGAGAAAAAGUAAUGUAAAAAAAAUGGAUUGUUUGGAAAUGUAAGUGUUUGCAAUAAUGUUAAAAGGGUAGAAGUUUGUAAAGAAAAUGUAAAGUGACAAUCAAACUAAAAGAAUAAUGAAAACAAAUUUGUACAUAAAGUAAAAUUAUUUAAAAAUACAUUCAUUUGAAUAGAAACGAUGUUUCAAGAUUCAUACAUGUUCUCAGUGAAACUAGUUUCUUACACUAUAACUCCUAUUUAUACAAGUGUAAAAUAAUUGUUUCAUAACAUUUGUCUCCUCAGGCUUUGCCACAUAGAUUUCUUCAUGCUUAUCGCUUUUGAAUGUCUUCCAUGUUUUCCAUGGGAUAAGACUGACAAGUAGUUAUUCAUUUUGAACAAAACACUUCUUUGCGCCCAAAUAACUACUGAUUGACGUAUCUCGCUGAUCGAAAAAAUAGCAAGUGUACUAUUUUGCCUAUUAUAGUAAUAACAGAGAAAUUCCUCGAAUGUCGAUCUCAAGGACUGCACGUCAAUAUCGAGUUCAAAUUAUCAUUCAAUUAAACAAAAAGUAUGAUUUGGGUUUUUAGAUUCAAAAUUAUAAAAAUAAAGGCAAAGACAAAUACUAAUAAAAAUAAGGGUUUGCAAGGUAAGAGGAACAAUGCUAGGGAAGGUGUAUGAUUUAUCCCUGUAACAACUUUGAGUCACUAUUGCAUCAACAAAUAUCAAUUACUACCAGUUAUCAAGGAUAUUUUCUCCCAAGUCCUUGGUGAGAAAAUCUUUAAUCAUUCUACCCUAAUUUCUAUGUCCAUAGGCAAUGAGGGUGACAUUAAGCUUUAUUAUAUCAAGAAUACACUGAUUCAUACAAGAUAUCCCUAGUCCUAGGUGAUAUCUACUAUAGAGUUACCUUAUGAAAACAUUAUCAAUGGAGGUCCAACCUAAUUGAUAACCACAAAACAAUAUUGAUUGGUCUGAAAGAGAAAGCAUUAAAAACAUCAAAAGGUUACCGUAAGAAUAAUAUUAUAAAUGCAAAUGUAAACUCAAAUUCGUUACAAUUCUAAAUCAGGGACACCCCCUAGCAUUUGGGGGUUUAGCUACUCAUAUUUUUCAAAACAAAUGCAAGAUAAAAAUUACAUAUUACAAGUAUUUGGAUGACUUCGAUCUUCAAUCACUUUCGCUCAUGAAAACCUUCCGCUCUCCGAACUUCUUGCUCUCUGUAAUACUUGAUUGCUUGAUAAUACUGUGUUUUGCCUCAUUCCAGGAUGAUCUUUUCUUUGGUAGAAGGUUCUCUUAUAUAGUGAAAAUUCCAAGCAACAGGUGGACAUGUCCAAAAAUAUCUCCGCAAGCCCGAUGAUCAAAAGCCCGAUGAAAAAGGAAAAUUUUGGGCUUGGGCUGACACUGACACGGGUGGUCGUGUCAGCUCACUGCUUCACUUGACAUCCCCAUGGGGGCUUGACACGGUUGAGGAUAAGGCCUGACACGGGCCGUGUCAGCUGACAUGGGCGGCCGUGUCAGGUUACUGUUUUUUGCUUUCAGUCUCCUUCUGCCUGACACGGCCCGUGUCAGGUGACAUAGGUGGCCGUGUCAGGCCUCAUGUACCGGGAAUUUUCCAUUCGUUUACUUGCCAGAAAUUCGGAUUGUCUCGCUCUGAGUUCCUCGAUUCUUCCACCUGGACCCGUUGGACAAAAACACAGACAUCCCACGCGUAAAAUCAUGAAAAUAUAAAAUAAAACAUGACAAUGAAUGGAAAUGCUCAAAUAUAAUACGGGAAGUAAAAUUGCCUUAAAAAGUACCAAAAUGCUUGCACAUUGUCUCAAAAUCCUCGGUUUCUUGUCGGAUCAGUAACGAAAACUUAAUGAAAAUGGUGACUGAUCACAACCCUAAACUUAGUGCAUUGCUUGUCAUCAAGUAAUGUUUCAGAUGACACUGUAUGUCACUCCCCAAGAUUCUUUAUUUUUCCUGACACUGCUGAGAUCAUUCGCUAACGGCUUCACUCUUCCUUUUAUAGUUCCUACUUUUCCUUGCGAGUCUUCAGUCGCCCUUCCAUUUCGAAGCACCGUUUCACAUGUCAACUUAUAUCACAUUCUCACCAAUUCUCUCGAGGUUAAGUGUUUUCACUCACAAUUCCGAAUAUACAAUAUCGACUCACAAGUUUGAAUAGUCUCUCCUUUCAUAUCACAUACACACAACACACACACUUUUUGAGGUCUUCCGGGUUGUAACGGGGCUUGGAUUAUGGUGUGGAUAUUCAAAAAAUGGGAAACAAAUGUAUUUUGGUUCAGAGUCAAUGUUACCGUUAUUUUCACUGUGUUGGUUCGUUUUUCUUUUAAAUUGUCUCCUUUUGUUUUUCACUCGGAAGGAAUAUACUACCUAGAAAAUUUUAUUCUAGUCAUAAAAAUGACCACUUUUAAACUUCUUUUAUCUAUAUCCUUCUCUCAAAUUUGGUAUCUACAUUAAUUAGAUAUUAAUGUAGACCUAGAUGGACCCUGGAUAAGGAAGUAUAUAUGAAAUGUCCUACUGGCCUAAAAGUUCAUAACAAAAACCUUGUAUGCAAGCUCAACAAGUCCAUUUACGGUCUUAAGCAAUCUAUUUGACAAUGGAAUAAAAAUUUAACAACCACUAUUUUGGAUCUAGGUUUCAUUCAAUCUAAAUAUGAUUACUCAUUAUUUACAAAAAAAAUUACAUAUUAUUUCACAUGUAUUCUGGUCUCUGUUGACGAUCUUGUGCUUUCAGGUGACUAAGUUGCUGAAAUUAAUACAAUCAAAGCUAUUUUGGAUGACAAAUUUAGCAUAAAAGACUUAGGAAAUCUAAAAUAUUUCCUUUGUUUUGAAAUUGUUCCUUCCUCUCAAGGCAUAAAUCUAUGGCAACAUAAAUAAAAUCUUGAUCUCCUUCAAAUAGUAGAAUUACUAGCAACAAAACUGGCCUCUACUCUGAUGGAUCCCAGAAUCAAACUUUACAAUGAUAUUGAUCCUAUUCUUCUCGACAUAACACAAUUUAGGCAUCUCAUAUGUAAAUUUUUAUAUCUGACUCACUCCCGUCCUGAUAUAAGCUAUGUUUUUUGCAAGUUAGAUUAAUACCUUUCCAAGCCUACCAAUUGACACAUGUAAGGCACACAAAGUUCUCAUAUACAUUAGGAUUGUUUCUGCUCUAGGCCUUUUUUUCAAGCAAUUCCAACCUACAACUCACGGGUUUCACUGAUUCGGAUUAGGGCGCAUGUCCCACAACUAGAAGAUCAACCACAUGAUUCUAUUUCUUCCUUGGCACAUGUUUAAUCAGCUGGAAGUGCCAAAAACAGCAAGUUGUGUCAAGAUCUUCUUCGAAAGCGGAAUACCGGGCUUUAGCAAAGACAUCAUGCAAAGUACAUUAGCUUUUAUACAGUCUACAUGACUUCUCGAUAAACCAUAUGCAACCUUUUACUCUCUUCCAUGAUAAUAAAAAUUCCAUUCAUAUUGCUUCAAAUCUUGUAUUUCAAGAAAUGACGAAGCAUAUCUAAAUAGAUUGUCAUCUUGUUCGAAACAAAAUCCAAACCAAGAUCAUCCAUCUCAUGCUCAUUGUCUUAAAAAAACAAGUGAUUGAUAUUUUCAUAAAAUCUUUUAUCUUGGGCCUUUUACAACUUUGGUCUUGGAACUUAGAAUGCUUGAUAUGCAUUCCAGUUUGUGUCUAUGUGUGGGACACAUACGUGUUAAGUUAUAAAGUUUGUUUUACCUGUUGGACUUUUAUUUUAUCGAUUUUUAUUAUUCAUGUAGUUAUAGUAUUUUUCUCUUACAAACUCUUUUCUUUGAUAUAUAUACUAUGAAAAAUAAAUGGAUAUUUUGUCUUUAAAAUUGAUUUAUUUUUUACUUUUCCUAUAGAAAAUGAUUGCUACCAUUAUCUAAAAUACCUUUCCUAUGGAAAAUAAUUGCUUCCACCAUUAACAAAAGGAGUUCUGGCUAUUGUCAAACAAUAAAGUAGUGUGGUAGGAUUUAAUUUCUAAAUUUAUUAGAGAAGAAUUCCUCCAUGAUAAUUUUUUUAUGUGUGUGUGUGUGUGUGUGUGUGUGUGUGUGUGUGUGUGUGUGUGUGUGUGUGUGUGUGUGUGUGUGUGUGUGUGUGUGUGUGUGUGUGUGUGUGUGUGUGUGUGUGUGUGUGUGUGUGUGUGUGUCGUGUGUGUGUGUGUGUUGUGUGUGUGUGUGUGUGUGUGUGUGUGUGUGUGUGUGUGUGUGUGUGUGUGUGUGUGUGUGUGUGUGUGUGUGUGUGUGUGUGUGUGUGUGUGUGGUGUGGUGUGUUGUGUGUUGUGUGUGUGUGUGUGUGUGUGUGGUGUGUUGUGUGUGUGUGUGUGUGUGUGUGUGUGUGUGUGUGGUGUGUGUGUGUGUGUGUGUGUGUGUGUGUGUGUGUGUGGGGUGUGUGUGUGUGUGUGUGUGUUGUGUGUGUGGUUGUGUGUGUGUGUGUGUGUGUGUGUGUGUGUGUGUGUGUGUGUGUGUGUGUGUGUGUGUGUGUGUGUGUGUGUGUGUUGUGUGUGUGUGUGUGUUGUGUGUGUGUGUGUGUGUGUGUGUGUGUGUGUGUGUGUGUUGUGUGUGUGUGGUGUGUGUGUGUGUGUGUGUGUGUGUGUGUGUGUGUGUGUGUGUGUGUGUGUGUGUGGUGUGUGUGUGUGUGUGUGUGUGUGUGUGUGUGUGUGUGUGUGUGUGUGUGUGUGUGUGUUGUUGUGUGUUGUGUGUGUGUGUGUGUGUGUGUGUGUGUGUGUGUGUGUGUUGUGUGUGUGUGUGUGUGUGUGUGGUGUGUGUGUGUGUGUGUGUGUUGUGUGUUGUGGUGUGUGUGUGUGUGUGUGUGUGGUGUGUGUGUGUGUGUGUUGUGGUGUGUGUGUGGGUGUGUGUGUGUGUGUGGUGUGUGUGGGUGUGGUGUGUGUGUGUGUGUGUGUGUGUGUGUGUGUGUGUGUGUGUGUGUGUGUGUGUGUGGUGUGUGUGUGUGUUGUGUGUGUGUGUGUGUGUGUGGUGUGUGUGUGUGUGUGUGUUGUGUGUGUGUGUGUGGUUGUGUGUGUGCUUGUGUGUGGUGUGUGUGUGUGUGUUGUUGUGUGUUUGUGUUGUGUGUGUGUGUGUGUGUGUGUUGUGUGUGUGUGUGUGUGUGUGUGUGUGUGUGUGUGGGAGAGAGAGAGUGACGAGGAGGAGGACCGAGAGAGAGAUUUUGUAUUUUUAUUUAUUAUUGUAUUUUUAAAUAGGAUUUCAUUGAUAUACACUGACAGUGUAAAAUGAUUUUACACUGUCAGUUAAUCCUAUCCGUUGGAUAUUGAAAUAAGUUUGACUUUUAUUUUAAAAACCUAUAAAAUAAUGCAAACGGGUGAUGGUGAUGAAUCGACAGUGUAAAUCUUUUUACACUGACAAUGCAUAGUAAUUAAUCUCUUUUAAAUAUAUAUUUAUAUAAAACAUUUUGUAAAUAAUUUUUUUAUUAUCACUAUUUUUUAAUAGUAUAUUUUUUAGAUUUUGUUUUCUUCAUUAUUCUUUUUUUAAAUCCCAAGCAAUUGGGUUGCUAAGAAAGUUUUCCUUUUCUCCCUCUUAUUUUAUCACUAUUUUUUAAUAGUAUAUUUAUGAUCAUUUUAUAAUUAUUUAUUACAUGAUCUAUCCAUUUAUUGUUAUUUUCGUUCAUUGUUUAUCUAUAUAUUAUUGUUUUUAUUAUUUAUUUUUGUUUUUCCAUUCAAAGGGGUAAAAGACAGAAUUUUAACAUUUUAAAAAGAAAUCAAUUUUUUUUUUAUCAAAGUCAACCGAACUUCAUUAACAUGGCAGGGUAUCGUAUAUUUAAAGCUAUAUAUAUUUUUAUAAUAUCUGGCCAUUCAUUAUUUAUUUAUCUAUAUUUAGAAUUUUUUUUAAAUAUAUUUUACAUUUCCAUUUAAUAGUUUUUUAAAAUGGUAUAUAGACUUUUUCCCGGAGACUGGAUUAUUGGAAUAACUUUUUUUCUUUUGAUUUGUUUCUAUUUUAUCAUAUUUUCCAUUUAUUCACUAUUUUAUUUAUUUAUUUUGGUUUUUCAUCAUUAUUUAUAUAUAUUAUUUUAGUCUUUGUUUAUAAUUAUUUAUCUAUGCCUAUAAAACUGCUAUAUUUCAAAACCUGAAAAGUAGAUAAAUCCACAGAAAAAAGCACAAGUAAUUCGAAAAUGGCUGGUGGGGGAUUCUCAGUGGAGAAUAAACCAGUUACUUCCUUCAAGAUUGGUGGCAAGUUAACAUUCUCAAUCAUCAUCUCAUGCAUAGUUGUUGCAUCCAGCGGCAUUCUUUUUGGAUAUGACCUUGGCGUUUCAGGUUUUCAUUUCUUCUCCUUCUUUAUUCAGUUAAAUAAUUUAUCUAUUUAUCUCUGUUUAGAAGAUUCUUUCUCGUUAUAAAUAUUAUUCAUAAUGAAAUUGAUAUCGAAUUUCAGGAGGUGUUACAACGAUGGUGCCAUUUCUUCAAAAAUUCUUUCCAGAUAUUCUAAGAAAGGCAGCUGGUACUGAAGCAAAUCUGUAUUGUGUGUAUGAUAGUCAAGUGUUGACAUUAUUCACAUCUUCUUUGUAUCUAGCCGGAUUAGUAUCAUCCCUCACGGCUAGCAAGGUCUCGGCCGCGUUCGGUCGGAGAAACACCGUCUUAUUUGGUGGUAUUCUCUUCCUUGCAGGUGGUUCUAUUAAUGGUGGCGCUGCAAAUAUUGUCAUGCUCAUUUUGGGUCGUCUUCUUCUCGGAUUAGGGGUUGGAUUUACUAAUCAAGUAAGUUUUUAUAAAUAAAAUAAUUAAUUCAGAAUAAAGAAUACUCAAUAUAUAUUUCUCAUUAUUAUUAUAACAUUUUGCUAUUGUAAAAGGCUGCACCAUUGUAUCUAUCUGAAAUUGCACCUCCAAAAUGGCGAGGCACUAUAGGCACAAGCUUUCAAUUCUUCUUAGGAAUUGGUGUAGUAGCUGCAAAUUGCAUAAACUACGUCACUGCCAAACACACAUGGGGAUGGAGACUCUCUCUUGGACUUGCAGUGCUCCCUGCCGCCGUUAUGACGAUUGGCGCGUUCUUGAUCACCGACACGCCAAGCAGUUUGGUGGAACGUGGCAAGAUAGACCAAGCAAGAAAAGCCUUAAGCAAAGUUAGAGGAAACUCCAUUGAUAUUGAAACUGAGUUAGAAGAGCUUAUUAAGUGGACAGAAAUCACAAAAUCAGUGAAACAAGAGCCUUUUAAGACCAUAUUGAAAAGAAAGUAUCGACCUCAGUUGGUUAUGGCAUUCGCAAUCCCAUUAUUUCAACAGCUUAGUGGGAUCAACGUUGUUGCUUUUUAUUCACCUAACCUUUUUCAAUCUGUGGGAAUGGGACACGAGGGUGCUUUAAUUUCUGCGAUUAUACUUGGAGUUGUUAACCUUACUUCUAUCUUUAUCUCCGCUAGUAUCGUCGAUCGAUUUGGUCGAAGAUUCUUGUUCAUAACCGGGGGUAUUCUGAUGUUUGUUUAUUUGGUAAGUGAAUUCCUAGAACUUGUCUAUAUUUGAAUUAAUUUAUAUAUUUUUCUGCUACUAAUUAUCAAAUAAUUUGUGUGAACAAUGUGAAGAUUGCUGUGUCCAUUGUGCUGGCAGUUGUAAGUGGUGUUCAUGGUACAAAUGGCGUAUCGAAGGGCAAUGCAUUAUUGGUAUUGGUGCUUUUGUGUUUCUACGCUGCCGGUUUCGGUUGGUCAUGGGGUCCUCUAACGUGGCUAAUUCCAAGUGAGAUUUUUCCAGUAAAUAUCAGAAGCACAGGACAAAGCAUAGCUAUUGGAGUACAAUUCAUACUAACAUUUGUGUUAUCACAAACGUUUUUGACAAUGCUAUGCCACUUUAAAUUUGGGGCCUUUGUGUUCUAUGCUUUUUGGGUUGUGGUGAUGACUCUAUUUAUUAUCUUCUUCUUGCCUGAGACUAAAGGAAUUUCUUUGGAGUCAAUGUACACUAUAUGGGGAAAACACUGGUUUUGGUCCCGGUUUGUUAAAGGAGAAGAUGAUCAAGAAAAUCAAUCAUGAAGUUUGUACACAAUAAUGGAAAUUUUGGUGUUCACUAAGAGCUGCUUGUCUCAUGAAUUAAAACUUCAUUUAUAAGUUUAUAUUUAUAAGGUAGUUAGAAUUUUUUUUAAGGAAUUUAAAGUUUUAAGCAUUUCAAAUUAUUCAAUUGUAAUCUAUUUUUUUUAAAUUUUUUUUUGAGGAAGUAUUAAAACGAUUGAUUGUUAAACCUUUAGUCAUUUUCAUUAAUUUUUAAAUUUUUAGACCAAAUUUAAAAUAUAAAAAAUAAGGAUCAAUUUACAAAAUUUGAAGGGACCAAUUUGUAAAAUUUGAAAAUUAUUAGGGACUUAUUUAUAAUUUUUUGAAAAUUUUAGGGAUGAAUUUGAAUUUUUCAUAAAAUAUGAGGACCAUCUGUAAAAUUUGAAAAAUAAAUAAUAAACAAUUUAACAUUAUAUUAUAUAGAAUGAAAGAGCAAUUUCAAAUUCUUUACUUGCAUAAUUGUAUGUGGUGAAUUAUGAUUGUGUCUAUGAGAUGUUGCGUUGUGAAUACGAUUAUGUGCCAUGAAUGUAGUUGUAUGUGCUACAUUGGGGUGUGUAGUUUAGAAGUAGAAACUAUUGUUGAAUGUUAUAUUGCAUGUUGCUAUGGUUAGAAGUGGAACCAUAAUUGCUGUUGUAGCAUUAUUUGCAUGCCAUGCAUCAUAUUGUGUCGGCAUGUUAAAAGAGGCGGGUCAUUGAUUCGGAAGUGGGAACUUGUGAUCGUCUGGGGUUCAAAAGUGGGGACCUGGGGUUCAAAAGUGGGACCCUGUUCGAAUGAGGAAUCAUUGUUGAAUGGAUGUAAUCAGUAACAAACCUAUGAUGUCCAAACUGAUACCACAUGAAAAAAGUCGAGUUGUGACUCACAUUGCAUGCAUAAAGGCUAUGUGAAUUGAAUUGUUGUGUUGAUAUAAAGCAUUUAGAGAAGAUUCAAAAUAUUGGUUCGCUAUCCAAAAGUAUUUGGAUGAGAUGAUAAAAGAUCUCCUCCGUCUUAACUAGAAAUCCUGAGUUUGAAUCAGCUCUAAGUACACAAUAGUUUUAAAAUUUUUGAGAGAGAACUUUACCACUCAUUGUAAUCCUACAUAUUAGAGAUAAAUAUAAGUUUUGUUAUUGUGGUAGUUAGUAGCUAGUUUUGUUAUUGUGGUAGUUAGCAGCUAAAACUAACUGUAAUUGUUAAUUGUUUCAUUUUCUUACUUUCCACCUGAUGUAUAUAUAAUUCCAUCCCUGUAACUGUUGCAUUAUGAAUGAUAAUAACUCUGAGCUUGUUCUACAUUCUCUUCAUCAAUAUUACUCUCGGUAAAUGAUGAACUUUUCAUCCUCAAUACUCUUAACAUGGUAUCAUUUGCAUGAAACGAUCUUUCGCGUUUCCCUUUCUUUGAAUCUUCAAUUCAUUUCUUUCAUAUCUGCAUGCACGAUUGAUUUUUAAAGAAUCGGUGGACCAAGGUUCACCAAUGGAGUCUCUAUAAAAUCAAGAAUUAGGGAUCAAAGAUCCAUCUCAAUCUUAAGAAAUGGCUACAAGUUUUGCAUCAGCGAAAUCCAAUAAUCAAUUCGGACCAAAAAAUUUGAUCAAAGCUUCAAGAAAACAACUAUUUUCUUUGGAAUCAACAAGUGGAAGGAGUUAUUUUAACGCAGAAGAUGCAUAAACUUGUUGUCAAUCCUCAAAUUCUGUAAAAAUACAAAUCGAUUCAGGAUCACAUUAUAGGUACUUUCUCUAAUAAGUGUGAGGCUUAGAUCGUUCAAGAUCAAGUUGUGUUCAUAUGGAUUUUAUCUAUCAUCUCUGAAUCUGUCUUGCCUAAGGUUUUAGCGUGUAAACACUCCUUUGGAGUUUGGGAAAAAAUUCAUCAGUACUUCAAUGCCCAAAUGAAGGCUAGGGUUCUUCAGAUGAGAGUUGAGCUCAAAUCCACAAAGAAGGGUAACAACUCAAUCACAAAAAUUGUCUUGAGAAUAAAAUCCAUCGCAAACUCCUUGUUGGGCAUUCGAGACACAAUUACCGAGAAAGAUCAGAUAGAUACAAUCUUGGAUGGACUUCUCGGAGAAUAAAAUAUGUUUGUAAUGCUAAUAUAUGACAUUCAUGUAUCACCAACACUCUGUGUAUUGACGCUCUCCUUUAGGUUCAAGACACACAAAUGGAUAAGUUUCGUCAAGAACUUGUUGCGUCAACCAUUGCUAACAAUAUUGCCACACAAAUCAAGAAGCAAGUAGCUCCAGAGGAGUGUAUUCAGACAAUAAUGGUAGAGGUAAUAGGUACAAUCGAGGUUGUGGCCGAGGCAGAGGAAAGCAUCCAACUGGUAAUCGUCCCACCUGUAAACUAUGUGGCAAGUAUGGCCACUCUGUUACAACAUGUUGGCAUGACUUCGAUGAGAAUUUUAUGCCCUAAAGUGCCAUCAUUGCUCAACCUAAUCCUGCUAGUAGCUCAAAUCUCAUUAAUAAAACACCUCAAGAUGGUUCACAAAGUUCUCAGGUUAUGGCUAUGAUGGCUCCCAUCGGUCGAUCAACUGCUACUACUUAGGAGUUUUCUCUACCCACAAAAUUAAAAUCUAAAGUGUCAUUCGCCGACUCUGGUGCUUCCCACCACUUAACCCCCUAUGAUUUUCAUUUAAGAAGAAUUAAGCCAUAUGUAGGGUCCAACAAAGUCUAUGUCGGGAAUGGAAAAACUCUUAGCAUAAAGUCUGUAAGCUCCACUCAAUUUUACUCCAAACUCGUCCCAAAUCAUAAAUUAAUCCUUGCUAAUGUCCUACAAGUUCCAGAUAUCACUAGGAAUCUACUAUCUGUUUCGAAAUUCUCGAGUAAUAACAAUGUUAUUUUUAAAUUCCUAUCUGACAAAUAUUGUAUUAAAUCUCAAGGUUCUAAACAAAUGUUGAAGGAAUUCUAGAUUCUAAUGGCCUAUAUUGCUUCCCUCAACUAUCCUUGAAGUCAUCCAGCUCACACUGCCUGAAUAAACACUUGAAUCCUUACACGGGUAUUCAAAGUUAUGUUGUUUCUCAUUCUGAUUAUCAUAAAUCAACUAUUUGUAAUACUAGCAUUCUAUGGCAUCAUUGGUUAGGACAUGCCAAUUUUCAUUGAGUUGCUCAUAUACUCAAGUUGUGUAACAUUCCUAGCACUAAUAAAUAAAUUUUCUUUUGCACUUCCUGUAAUUUUGGUAAAACUCAUAAAGUACAUGCUCCCUUAACUCAUAUUAUUUAUCAUAAAGUUUUUGAUGUUAUUUAUAUUGAUUUGUGGGGUCUACCCCCAUCUCCCUCAAGUCCCUGAUUAUAGAUAUCUAGAUGGUCAUACUAGAUACAUAUGAUUAUACUUUCUCAAACAAAAGUUUGAAGCCCAACAAACCUUUAAACUAUUUCAGAGGUUUGUCCAAACACAAUUUAGUGUAAUCAUAAAAUCUAUAAAAUCUCAUUUUAGUGGAGAGUUUAUCUCUAAUGCUACAUGACUCGAGAGAUUAGUUUUAAUAAUUGCGUGUAGAGAAUACUCGAUUUUAAAAAAAUAUAUUUAUUUGCUGAGAUGAUAAAGAAAAAAAAAUAGAAAUAAUAUACAUUAUUAUAAAAUGGAAUAAUGAAUUAUUUAUACCCACCUACUUUGGGAGUUAAAUGAGAAACAGUAGCACAAGAAAUGCUAGUAAUAAAUCAGUACAAAAUAGUUAUGAUCCUUAUCAAUAUUUAUAUAAUAUAACACAUGCUAAUUUUUUUAAUUCAUUUGUACCACAUUAUUCCAUUAUCUUAUAUUGUAUCUCCCUAAAUUUAUUUUUAAAAGGUCAAAUAUAAUAGUUAUUCUUUAUUAUAGAUAAUGAGUUCAACUUCUUGCAAAGAAAAAAAUAUAUAAUAUUUAUUUUGUAUUGAAAAUUACAAGUUCAACUCUUCACAAAGACAACAAUAUUCUCUAUUGGAAGUUUCAAAUUCAACUCCUCACAAAGACAAAAUAUUUGUGAAUUUAAAGAUUGAAAUUGAAAAUUUGUUUUCUUUAAAAUCAUACCAAAAAAAAAAACUAUUAUAAUAUAUUAAAAUUGAACUACAACUAUUUUGUUGACAAUUCAUUAUCUUACAUGUCAUAUCAUUAAAAAUAUGAUGUGACACUCUUUAAAACAAACAUUUUAAAACUUAUAGUUUGAGAUAAAUGUGUUACAUUAUUUCAUUUAUAAAUAUUUUUUAAUUAAAAUAUUUAUAUUUUCAUAUUCAAUUAGCCAUCUCCUUUUAUUCCUCUAACAAAAAUUUAUUUAUAUCCUUUAUUUUCUUUGUUUCUCCAUUUCAUAUAUAAAAUUACAUCCACAUUACAUCGAGACACAUAAUAUUAUUAUAAAUUAUAUACAUGUACAAUUAAUAUAUUUAACAUAUAUCAAAAUUCAAACUAUUAAAAUUUCAUUUGCUUUUCUAUUGUAUACACUAAUUUCAAUAAAAAAAAUUAAAUUAAUAAAUUUUCAAAUAAUUCUAUAAAAAAAUAAUGGGAGCUUAUUCAAUUCCUAAAAAAGUAAAAUUAAUUCAUAUUUAAAUAAUACAAUAAAAUUUUUAUAAGAACUAAUUUAAUUCCUCUAAAAAUGAAAAUAUCUUUUAAUCUCUUAAUAGAAACGAUAAUAUUAUCACGGCUUAAAUCGCUAAAAUAAAGAGAUAAUCACUUAGGUAGAAACAAUUAUAAAAAUACAAUUUAUUAUUUUUCAUACCCUAAUGUUUAUUUUUUUUGUAUCUAUAUUAUUUUGCCUAUCAAUAUUUUUUAAAAUAUAUAAUUCUUAAUUACAAAUGCAGUUAUAUGUUCCAAAAUUUUUGCUUUAAAAAUUAAAUCUCAUAGCAACGUUAAAAAAGUUAUCAAACCAUUUUUUCAAAUUUAACUUAUAAUUUUUAAAUAGACAAAUAAAUGCCUCAAAUUAUUUCGAAAAUAUUAUUUUAAAUUAUAAUUGCAGAUACAUAUUACAAAAUUAAAUCAUAAUUUUUCAAAAAUCAAUUAUAAUUUUAUUAAAUAAAAAAUGUUCAAUAAUGUAUUGUUAAAUUAUAAAUAAUUAAAAUGGAUGGGUAAUUCAAUUGAAUUAAAUCAAUGGUAAUUGUUGCAAAUGAAUGGUAUAGUAAAACCAUUGUCCAAUCGAAAGAGACUCAUUGACCAGUCAUGCUCACUUCAUUUCUAGACUACAAGUUCAACAUAAAAUAGAGAGUUUUAUCUAUGAUUUUAAUGUUGACCUUCAUGAAUGAGGGUUACUCUAGUGUAAGUAGUUUGAAUGUGGAAUGUUUUUUAUCCAUGAAAUAAUGAAGAACAAACAUUCUUAAGAGAUGUUGAAACAAAGGAAAGGAAAUAUUAAAAAAAUAAUAUUAAAAUUCUUUACACUUAUUUCAUAUUUUAAAAUUAAAUUACUAUGUCUUAUUUGAAUAUCUAUGAUUCAAAUAUAUUUAUUUUCACUUAAAUUUUUACUCUUUUUUUAUCACCUUUAUCUUAUCGUCUCAAUUACAAUUUUUUCAUAAUAAAUAAAAUCAAAAUCUAUAUUUUAUAAUACUACUACAAAAAUUCAUCUCAACCCCACACAUUGCGUGAAUCUCUAUCUAAAUGCAUUUUUUAGAGGUAAUGCACAUAAAAUUUAAAUAUAUUGAGAAAAUCGUGUAUUAACUUUAUCCAAAUUCUUCAAUAAUAACAAAUGUAUGCAACGGUGUCUUAAAAGUUAAUGAACAAGGGAUAUAUCUUUAAAAAAACUAUAUAAUUCAAUAGUUUUUUUUAAAGUCUAAUAGGCUCUUAGAAGAAAGUUAUACUCUACUAGGAUUAUUUAUCUCAUCCUAAGUGUUGCUCCUGCAUACCCUCAAAUAUAAACAUCACAAAAAAUCUGGAAUUGUUUUUUCAAAAAUUAUUGUGCCUUACAAACCAAAAACAAAAGCAGAAACAAUAAAACUAACAUAAAUUAACCUCAAUCAUCAUUAUGACAUACAUUAAAAACGUAACAUUACAUAGAUAAUCGUUAAUAUAAAUCUAACAUUACAUUUCAGCGUCAUGCGAUAGUUUAAGAUGUUUCAACAUCUUCAUAAUAUCUUCGGUCGAUCUGACAAACUUCGCAUCCACCUCGAUAUGACCUUUAGUUUCGUAACAGUGAAAUGUUAUCCACAUAACAGUUAAAUCUUCAUAUGUUUUCAGGUCAAACUUACUGAAUUUUAUCUUCCCUUUGUUGUCAAUCAAGGGUGAACAAUAAUAGAGUUUCACAACUCUUCAAUUUUCUGGGUACAGAUUCUCUAGUAUUAAUUUUAAAUCGACAAGACGAGUGAUCCGUGUGAACCUAAAUUCAAGAGGAGGUUUCUCGUCGUUGAAGUAGACAAAAUUGAGAUAUGCAUAUUGAGAUUGAAGGUAGAGAAAAACAAGAAAGGGGGUUUGAAUUGUUUUUGGAAAUAAAAACUUUUUGAGAUAUUAGACACACAGAGAAUAAAAAGGAAUAUGACACAGAAUUUUAUACUGGUUCGCUUGAAAUUCAAAGUUACUCCAGUCCACCCUGCCAAGGUGAUUUCUCCUUCAAAAAGGUCUUAAUCCACUAAUCUUAAAAGAUUACGCAAACAACCGCCUAAGAGAAUAAUCCCUUAGUCUUCUCAAGUAUUCAGACUGCAUAGAGUCACUUGAGGAAAUAUCUUAGCAAAAAUAUGAUUUGUAAUACAAUGUGCUUCGAACAAAAAGAAAAUAUUACAGAAUAAUAAGAACAAAGCCUUUCACGUAAUAGCAGCAGCUCGUGAAAAAUGAGAGAGAAUGAAUGAGAGUUUUUGUAUAUUGUGUGUCUCAGGUGUGUCUUCUUGUGAAGUAUUCAGUCCUUUAUAUAGGCGUUGAGAAGGACCGUUGGAGUGCUGACAAAAUCUUGGUUAUUGAAGAAUGUUUAUUAUCAUUACUCUCCUUGUUUCUUUCUAAAACAAUUUUGUGCGCCUCAUUAUUUCCUUCUAGAAAUAAUUUCUUUCCAAAACCAGAUUUCUUUUCGGUUACGUGUUCUGAACUGGUGAAUCUGUAUCAGAGUCUUGGUAAAUCAGAGUUUAACGUCAGAGGUUGAUAAUAUCUGACCACAUCAGAGUUUCUCUAUGCUCUUGACUUCUUCAGAUUCAGAGUCUGGAUUCAGUCUUCUUUACCAGAGUUUCUGACUUCUUUCUGUUGCGCUGGUAACUGCGUUGAUUAGAGUCAAAACCUUCUGGACGUGUUUUCUCUGAGUAGCAUCUGAUAGUUGAAUUCUGUAUCUGAUGUGUUUAUCUAUCUGAUUGUUUCAUCAGAGUCCUGCGCACUUAAGAAAAAUUUCAUUAGAGUACCAUUUUUGUUUCAUCCUUUAUUAUCAUCAAAAUCUUAGAGAUACAUUGUAGAACCAACUUUAUUCUUACAAUCUCCCCCUUUUUGAUGAUGACAAAACAAUACAGAGAAGAGGUGGAACAGUACAGAAAUAUUUCAGAUUAGAUAGAAAGGGGAAAUCCCCCUGAGUUAGAUCCUUGGAUUAAUCAGAAGUUCUUACCGGACCUUCCUUGGUUUAGUGCUUUAGCUACUUUCCUGCAUAUCUUAAGUCAUUAAUUUAGUAAUAAUUUUUUAAUAAUGUUUGCAGUGCUUUGAGAAGAUUCAGUUAUGUUUCCAUCAGAGCUGUUUUAGUUCUCCCCCAUUUUGUCAGAAUCAAAAAGACAGCAAAAAAGUUGAUAUUAAUAAAGAGAGCAGUUACAGAUAAGCAGCAGAGAAGUCAAAUAUUAGAAAACAAAGGAAACAACAAACUCAAAAAGGCAACAAGCAAAUAUCCUAAUUGCCUAAGGGUUUGGGGGCGGAGGCAUCCUUUGGAGCAGCUGAGACAACAUGUUCUGAAUGUUGAUAAUGACAGAGUCCUGUUGAUCCAGCCUAGCCCGAACCACUUGUUGUUCUUUCUGCAGUUCCUCCAGAAUCUUCAAGACCAGAGGGACGAACCCACUGUUGGAGUGCUCCCGCUGAGUCAGUGCAUCAGCACUGACUUUGGCAGGUGCUUCUUCAGCAAUACGAGCUGCUUCUUCAGCAUCGGCUUUAGCUUUUGCCUCAGCCUCAGCAGCAACCGCAGCAGCAACAACAACCUUCUCCUCAGCUUCCCUUAUUCAAUGUUCUUCCUCUUGGCAUGCUUUCUCUUCAGCUUCCUUCCUUGCCCAUUCCUCAGCCUCUCUGGCUAAGCGCUCUUGAAGUCUAAUACCAGCGUCUCUGAUAAAGUCGUUGCGGACUUGUUCAGAGAGACCUUUCAGUUUGAAGGCUUCAGAGGUCAUCCAACUUAUCACUUUGUUCCAGUGGAUCCUUACUGCAGAGGGAUCAUCACUGAUGCCAGAGUUGAUUGUCAGAGACUUGACCUUCUCUACUGAAGACUCUUCAAAAACAUGUAUUGCUUCUUCUAGGGUAGGGAGGGUAGUCUCUGGUUCAGUGUUAGAUGUUGGGGAGGAUGGAGAAGGUGAGUUUGGGGCGCUGAGAUUUAGUGUGGGAGUUAUGGAGGCAACGGAAGUUGUGGGUGUGGGAAUGGCAUAGGGUGAUUGUGUUGUUUGUUCAGGUUCUGAGUGUGGUUCAGAUGGUGAGUGGGUUGGUUGUGGUUCAUAGUGGAGUGGUUGUUGGUUGUGGUGUCUUUCUCACGCUGGAUCUCUCUUAGGCUGUUGUUUGGGUAAUCUUUCAAGAUUAGUGGAUUAAGACCUUUUUGAAGGAGAAAUCACCUUGGCAGAGUGGAUUGGAGUAGCUUUGAAUUUCAAGCGAACCGGUAUAAAAUUCUGUGUCAUAUUCCUUUUUAUUCUCUGUGUGUCUAAUAUCUCAAAAAGUUUUUAUUUCCAAAAACAAUUCAAACCCCCUUUCUUGUUUUUCUCUACCUUCAAUUGGUAUCAGAGUCUUGGUAAAUACAAAACAUGUGUUACCAUCUAAAUACAUUUUUAGAUAGAAACAAAAAAAUGACCCUAUCAAGUUUCAACUUCUUUUGUUGAAUGAGUUGUCCACUCCAAUGAUGUUAGCGGUAUAUGGUAUCCCGAUUUCAAAUAAACUUGAACAAAAUAUAGUGAUUUUUUAAAUCCAACCAAUACACAUAAUGUUAUUAGUUGAAUUUUGAGGUGGGGCACUCCGAAGUGAAAAACAUGUUUCUGAGAACUCGUAUCUUAUCAAAUCAACUCACACCAUAUGAUAUUCACGUGCUAUAGGAUGACCAUUUCCAGGGAAGCGCAUCCAUUUUUCCUUCGGUGAUGGACCUCUAACACAAGGAAUAAGAGAUUCAUGAAUUGCAUCAAAACAUCUUUUUUCCUGUAUAUCAUCGUGUAUGAUUCUUUAUGCGCCUGUCGCAACCGAACUUUUCAACCAGAUAACGAAAUCGGGACUGUUGAAAGAAAUGCCUAAUCGUAGGCAAAUAUCAGAAGAUUCACCACUGAAUUUUAUUUUAUGUGCCUCCAUUGGAGAAGGUGGGGGGAAAUAAUUGAUAAAGCCCUCAGAAAGAUAAGUGUAUGGGAAGCGUUAUAAAAAGGAUAGGGUAUCGGUCUCGUAACAGAGAUUAGGAUUCGAGAGUCGAUUAUGCAAGGGGAAGGUAUUAGCACCCCUCACGUCCAUGGUAUUUCAUGGGAACCAUUUGGGUUGUUUUACGUACAUGGGGAUUUAUCUGUCAUUGUUUUAUUUUUUAAAAGAAUGUGUGAAAGAGGGGGUGUUUUUGUUAUUAUAGUGCUCUCCAAGGAUUGGGGCCCUUGUGCCUACGUAUCACUCAUUCGGGGAUGAGGAAUCAGAGUUCCGUAGUUCGGAGUAGAAAUUUUUUUGUGUGUUGGUUGAUUUUACCUUUGAAAAAAAGGUUUUCAGAGUGGUUCCCUAAGGCACAAAAAUAAGGUUUGAUGGGUUGAGUUGAUUUUGCCUUAAACAAUGGUUUAUGAAAAGAGAGUUUAUGAUUAGAUUGCACUAAAGUCUAUGGGCGGAUGUGAUUACUCUAGAUAACAAGUCAAGCGUCUUGCAUCCAAAAUAAUCAGAGUGAGGGUAGGAAUGCUCCAUUCUCACUCAUUUUCCACCACUUAAGGCUCGUGCGUACAAUACUAACUGUAGUUAUUAAGUAUUUUAAGUUUGAUUAAGAAAAAUCCGUUUGACGUUGGAUCAAGGGUUUGUUUAUUUUAUUAUCAAAUUUGGCUAAUGCAACAUGAAUGCAAAGUAACCGGCAAGGAAAUAAAAGGGUUUCAUUUUAAGGUAGCACAAGAGAAAGCUUUGUGUGUGCAAUAGUGUGACCUAUGCUAAACAAAGGAUAAUGGUCUUAAAAACAUGCCCCCCUAAGGUGGUGCCAUGAUUCCAUUCUUACAACCAGAAUGUAAGUUAGAGAUGAAACCUAAGUGUUUACAAAAGUAUCACAAAAAAAAGUAAAGGGAAGGCCUCCAAGCAAAUGUCUUAAAUGGGAUCCUCUAAGUCCAAGUGGUUAAGUAAAGUGUAUUAUUUUUUGUCUUUUAAUUUUAUCAUGUUUUGGUUGUUUUUGAAUGACGACAAUAAUAAAGAACAAUAAUAAAGUAUAUAUGAUGAAUUUGUACAAUUAUGAUGAUAAUGAUGACUUAAAUGUAAACGACAUAAUUAGUAAAUAACAUUGGAUAAUAACAAUGAUAAUAACAAUAACAAAGGUUAGUAAUAAUCAAAGUUAGUAAAUGUCAAAGUUAAGGUUAUGGACAACUUUUGGGGAUUAUCUAUCUUUAGGUCAAUAGAUUCAAAAUAUGGCGUAUCGAGGGAUAAAUUAUCACUAAUGCAAAGUAAAGAAGAUGAUCAAUGGAUCAACUUACCCUAGAUUUGCAGCAAUGAAAGUUGUUCAACCUCAAGUCCAUCUAUCAAUAAAUUGACAAAAAGAAGACUAUACAAUCCAAAAUUGAAUGAUUGGUUUAAGUGGUUUAUAAGUUAUAUGAACAAGGUAUAAUAGUGUCACACCCCGAUUUUGACCCUGAAUAUGUGAUUCAAUACAUUCAUCAUAGCUGUUGCAUCUUUGCAUAUCAUGAUAUCCAUUCCAUAACGCAUAGUGCCUACAAUAUUAGUCGGAAUAAAUUCUGGAUCUACAAGUAAACCGGUUGAAUCAAUUGUCAAAUGUGUGCCAAAACAGCAGGCCAAAUUUUUUUAAAAAUCAAGCUUGCAAACAUCAGUUUUAAUAAUCUACGUUUCGCGUAGUUUAUCCUGCUAUGCUCGAUUUAUUUUUUUGACCAAUUUUUGGUCACAUUUUGAUCUGUCUGAGUGUUUUAACCGCGUGUUUUCCAUUUCAACAUUUGACAAAAACCUGUAUGUUUAUGAGUCGUUUAUUUCACGCUGAUUAUUUUGGUGCUUUCAGUUUAUUUUUUCGAGCAUUUUUACACCCAAUUUUUAUUCAUUUUGGGUCUAUUUAUUUUUAUCUCUUUGUAAAAAUGUUCGAAAUAAAUUAUUAGAAUUUUCUAUGUUUUUUGUUUCAAGUUAAUUUUAACUAUUUAGAUUAAUAUAAUUUUAUUUGAAUCAAUUUAUUUUUAAUUAUAUUUUACACUAAUAAACUCAUUAAGGGCAUUAUUGGCAUUUAGAAAAUUAGAAAACUCUACUAUAUAUAUUAACUAACUUAUGGCAAGGAGGAAGGGGGCACCCGUUACACAUCGAGGAAGCACAAAAAAAGUCAUUCUUUGAGCCUCUUCUUUGAAACUUUUCCAAUCAACAAGAAAGAACUUCCUUUGAAUCUCACAUUUUCCUCGUAAUCCCAUCCAUCAAUAUCCAUAUCAAUUUUCUUCAAAACUGGUGUGGUUUUAUCAUUACUUUUGUUUACAGGUUUCCAUAUGUUUUCCUUUUUGUUUUAUUUGUUUUUAUUUCUAACUUAAUAAUAAGUGAUUAGUAGUGACAAUUUUGCUAUCUUGGAAGUUUUUUAUGAUGUUAUUCUUUUUCUGAUUUGAUUGAAUUCACAAUUUAUAUGAUAGUAGUGUAGACAGUUUUCUCUAUUAUUGUACUUAUUUUCUUAAUAUUAUUAGGUUCUUCUAUUAAUAAAAUGAGAAAAUGAUAGUUAGAUUUUAUUGCUGAUUAGUUUUAUUAAAUUGAUAGUUAGAUAUGUCAUAUUAUAGUAUUACUGAUUGUUGAUUAAUGUAAAAAAUUAUUCUUGAUGCAUGUAAAUAUCAAUGUUUCUAUUGUGCAGUAAUAAAUGUUAACAAGUCAUUAUAUUUUGCGAUAUGGUUUUCUAUCGGUGAUCACAAGCAAUUUUAUAGGCUAUUAAACAUGAGUUUGGCAUCAUUUGUUUUUAUAACUCAAAUUAAAUUUGAAUGAAGAAAAAGUUAUGCUAAAAAAAGGGGAAACAUUAGAAUUAAAAUGACAUAAAAUCAACUUUUCUUUAACCAUUACUUAGAUAUCAUACACAUUUGAUAAUUUAGAAUUCCAUUUGUAAAUGUUUCAAAAAAAUUUAUUUAUUUAAUUAAUUAACUAUUAUAUUUUUUAUUAUUUUAUUUAUUUAAUUAAUUCCGAUGUGUUUAGUCAUUUAACUGGGUUAUCUCUAUGCAUGUUUAUAUGGCAAUGUAAAUUAUUUUGGUUGCUGCCGCUUUUUAUUGCGUUACGAAUUCAGAGUUUAAAAUCCAAUUUAACUUUUGAAAAUUGUUCGGACGAAUAUAUUGUUGUUCGGCUUCUUUUAGAGCGAUUCUUAUAUGAAUCCACUCUAAGUUAGCUUGGAGCUAAAUUCGGUCGCUUUCGAUUUCAGUUUGUUUUCGGUCCCAUGGCUUACUCUUGUGCCUUUUUGCAAUGAGCUCUUGUCUUUUUUUUCAUGCUCGCAUUUACUUGUCUGUAUUUCAAUUAACCUCACAUAACUUCAAACCAUUCUCAAUUCAAAUGACUUCAAACCAUUUUCAUAUAUAAAUUGGAAGAAAAAGACUACCUGGGUGAAAGAUUCAGAUGUAAUCCCGAAUGUUAGGCUCAAGUUGUAAGAGCUUGCAAGCCAUACAUGUUCGUCUUCCCUCUAAAACACUUGUAAAUAUUCAAACUUAUUUUCUUAAUAAAAUUGGAAGAAAAAGAUUACCUGGGUGAAAGGUCCAGAUGUAGUCCUGAGUAUUAGACCCAAGUUGUAAGAGCUUGCUAGUCAUAAAUACUCGUCUUUCAAGCCCAAAAAUACAUUACCAAUCAAACUCUUUAUUUUGCCAUUGUGCGAUUGAUCAGAAAAACCUUUUCAUAAACGAAAGACAUCUUGUCUUAAGAUGAUGUAAAGCAAUGCUUCGUCCAUAAUUGUUGAGUUGAGAUAAGUAACAUUUUUCUGAAUGUUGAUUUGUAAAUCCAUUCGAUGUGUGGUAUACGUCCGCUCCUCAUCUGUUUUGGGUAAAACAAAAUUUUUCUUCGAUUAAUACAAUAUAGCUUUCUUUAAAAUCGACCAAAAAAUAAAUGUUUUCUAGCUAGAAAUACAUGUGCCUUGAGUUCUCAAUUGAGAUACGUAGGAGCAGGAUUGCGAAAUCUUGCCAGGUCCAUUAAUAAAAACCUAGAUUUAGUCCCCUUCGUUUCCAAAUCCAAAAACAUUUUCUCUUUUCUUUUGAUCCUAUUAUUCUUUCCCUCAUAAUAACUUGAGAAGUCUAACAUUUCAAGCUAACACUAACGCGCACAAUUAACCUAAUGGUUCCCAUUGAGUAAAACGGACGUGAGGGGUGCUAAUACCUUUCUCUUGCAUAACCGACUCCCGAAUCCAUAUAUUGGUUGUGAUGACCAUAUCUUAUCCUUUCUUUUAGGGGGUUUAUAGAUAUUUUCCCUUUCCCUAAUUGGGAAUAAAUAAAGUUCGGUGGCGACUUUGUUUAGUCCAUCAUACGAUCGUGCGAUUGCGCUUUGCUAAAUCGUGUUCUCAUUUUUCGAGGUGCGACAGAUGGCGACUCUGCUGGGGAUAUGAUUUCCCUAAGUGAGUCAAGCCUAGUUAGGUCAUUUUUGUUCCUUUGUUUGUUUACUUGUGUGGCUUUUCUUUACUUCUUAUGCUAUCUUUAUUAUCAUAUUGAUAUAAUCUGUUGUAUUGAUUCCAUUAUGCUUUGGUACUUGGGUACUCUGAUUGCAAACCUUGUGGGAGAGACUCUUUACCCGAGUCUCGAGUAAAAACAUAAGAUAGGAUAAGGUUGAGUAGUGCGGGUUCGCGAGAUGAAUUUCUUGUUGGGUCAGUGCGAGAACCUUACUUAAAGUAGAUCCUUGGGAGGAUGUUGUAGCCCGAAAAGUAAGUUGCAGUAAACUUCAAUAUUUUCAUUAGGAUCUAUGACUCUACGGAUAAUUCGUAGAACCUUAAUCCUUUGGCCAAAUAGGAAAGAUGGUUGUGUAGUAUGGGUCUGUGAGAUAAACUUCUCGUUGGAUCGAUGCGAGAACCUCAUUUAGAGUAGAUUCUUUGGAUGGAGUUGACGCCCGACAAGUAAUUUUCUGCAUGCACCAAAUAGUUUGAUGGAUCCAUGACUCUAGGAACCUUUUUUUUGUAACCCUAGAUCAUACCCGGUGAGAACCUAUUCUUGAAAAGCAAUCAAAUUCAUUAGUACCUCGGACUUUUGAACCCGUGCAUUGAAAAAAAAUAUACAUUGCUUGCAUUGCAUUUAUUCACAUUCAAUUGCAUCUGCAUCUCAUCAGAAUGCAUGUCAUUUUCCAGACAAAAUACAAAAAAAAAACUCAUCCAUCAUUUGUCCAUGAUCAGCAAAGUGAUUCCCGACAUGCGUUUAGAACAAAGAACCAUGUCUCAGGAGAUGAUGGACGAGCUAAGGAAAAGUCAAGAAGCAUUGAAAGAGGAACUCAAUCUUUUGAAAAGCCAGAUGGGAUAGGUCUUGGAAACCCUACAAGCCUUGUUGAGAAAAGAGGACCAUCCAAUACCUAUUACCGCAAUGGAGGGAGCUACUACUCCACAUCCAUUUGGUGUUACCCCAAGUCAAGGGAAAUUCUAUGUGGAAACUCUUCAUCUACCGACAUAUGGCCCUCCCUCAGGAUGUCAUCAUCAAUAUCCUCUGACUAUUCCUCCUCAAAAUCACCGAAGUCAGGUUCAUAACAAAAAUCAGAAUUAGAACAAGGGGAACAAAGAUCCCAAUGACCCGAUUCCGAUGACAUAUAGCAAACUCUACCUGCAGUUGAUCCAGAAUGCUUUGGCGACCCCUCGAGCUCUCACACCUACGUCACCGUACCUACCAUGGUACAAUCCAAAUGCAAUAUGUGAAUUCCAUAAAGGGGCAGUGGGACAUGACCUGGAUUCUUGCUUAGCGCUGAAAGCCUUGGUACAAGAACUGAUUAAUAAAAAGAGCUUAGUCUUUGAAGAAGAUCACCCGAAGGUUAAGUGUGGAUACCAUACUAGAACAAUGAGGCACUCCAUCGAGGAAUGUAAGAGUUUUAAGUUCAAGCUACAAAGAUUAAUUGACAUAAGGUCACCAACACUCAAGGAGGAAUACUCAUGUGCAUAUAUCUUAAUUUCUGGGCCAGGUAAUGAGAAAGGAAAAGGAGCCAUGAAAUCCCUCAAGGUUUUAUACCACAAGGAAGAGGUUAGUUAUGUGGCUAACAAGAUGAAGCUAACGAGAUAUCAUCCUUUCCCGAUAAGAGCAUUGAGAUAUCGCCUUGGAUUUACAAUGUCACAACCCAUGCCAACAGAAGCAAAGGAGAAGUGAGUAGUGGAUCCAAGAGGGUUGCGUUCAAGGAUGAGAUUGAAGGAAAAGAAUUUGAAGAUCGUCAUACCAAUGUCAAAAAGCUUGUUGAUCCCAACCUUCAAGUGGCUGAAAAUGAGCAGUUAGCAAUGCCCAAAGUUCCAUACUAGUAACCACUACCUUUUGAUCUUCAUUACCGACAAUCAUGGUUUGCUCCUUAUCCAAAUCAAUAAGCCCAAGGGCCAAGAUAUCGGAAUCAACAUUAAAAUCAGCCUAGGACUCGAAAUAAUUUGGAAAGAAGAAAUGCUCCUCGUCAUCCAAUACUCAUGACAUAUAGCCAACUUCUACAACCUCUAAUUCAAAACUCGUUGGUGGUUCCCAAGUCUCUUAAGCCGGUUACACAACCUUAACCACCCGGGUAUGACCCAAAUGUGCAAUGUGAAUAUCACGUCGAAUCAGAAGGGCAUUCAAUUGAAGACUACAACACUUUCAAAUCCAAAGUACAACAGUUGAUUGACAACAGAUACAUAGCCUUUCAAGAAGGAAGCUUGGUGGUGAAUGUCAACCUAUCACCCAGAUAAGUGUGAAAACCUCAAGGGGUGUCUCCCGAAGUUAAUGGAUCAAGUUUGAAGAAGUCAGUUCCCUAAAGCUGGCAAUCAUAUGGUUGUUUCAGUAUUUCUUUUGUAUUUUCCUUGCAUGUUGAUUGUUAGUUUUUUUAAGCAUUAUUGUUUUAUUUGAAUUGGUAAGAUUAAUGAAAUGUUUAUGCAUCUUUUGAAUUAAUCCAUUCAUAUUCACUCGUUUUUCAUUUAUGUUAAAAAAAUACUUCUCCCAUUCACUUUUGUUUAUCAAAUUAUUGUGUUAACAAAGAUUGGGAGGAGAAGGAUGAAAAUGAAACACCUGAAAUUGUUGUGGUAUGCUUUUGAAGAAAACCUUGUCGAUGAUGUAAGUCAUUGUUUAAAAUUCCCAAACACCAGAGAGAUAAAGAGUUAGUCCCUAGUCAACCAGUUUGAGCGUUGAAGUUAGUAUUUCUUUCAAAAUUAAAAUCCUUAAUCUUAACCAGGGGCAGGGUAGUUUAUUCAGUUAAUCUGACUUUGAAUUUAAAUUGGAAGAGGAAGCAUCCUACUUAAAGAGAUCAACCAUAUGCUUGAAGUGCCAAAGAAGUUUUGAAAACCCAAUAUUAUAGUGGUUAUUCCUCAACAAUCAAUGAUAUGACAGUCACAAAAAAUAGUUCAUCAAAAAUAAAAAGCCCCCUAGGUCGAAUACCACAAAAGAAGACUUAGGAAAAAA